UACCAUCACAACCGGAAGGAUUAGAAUCUACAAAUGUUGUAGACAUGUUUGAUACAGAUAACUACUGGAGUAACCCCGUUACAGAAGUUACUACUGACCUUCUGCCGGUCAAGAGAGGCGAUCCAGGACUCCCCGUCAUCCCGAUCUCCAUCAGCAUGGUGGACUUCCCAGAAGCACUCUGUGACUUUGGCUCUAGUGUCAACAUUAGGCCUAGGGUACUCUAUGAAAAAUUCUUUACAUAUCCUUUGUUAGAAACAACCAUGUGUUUGCAGCUUGCAGAUCGGACACUAAGUUUCCCUAAGGGAAUAUUGAAAAACCUCUGUGUCUGAGUUGGUACCUUAUACGCCCCAGCAGACUUCGUGGUGAUAGAGAUCGGUAAUGAUGAGAGGGCACCUGUCAUCUUAGGGAGGCCAUUCCUGAACACCUCGGGAGCUGUCAUCUACGCUAGUGCUGCCAAGAUCAGUUUCUACAUCAAAGGAAGGAAGGAGACAUUUUCCUUCAACAACAAGACUACACAAAUCCCAGAGCAAUCCCGACAUAAACCAAGGAAGAGGACCAAUAGGAGGAACAGGAACAAGCAAGUAUGGACCGAGUCAACUAAGAUGGUCACUGUAGUUCAAGGAGAUUAAGAUCAUCGACUUAAGUCACCGUUCCUGACCAAGAAGGACGACCUAGGUAUGCCAAGCCUCUAUUGCUCCAUCAAUGGAUACAACUUCUACAAGACACUUUGCGACACCGGAUCGGGCGUCAACAUAAUGGCCGCAGUCACCUAUCAGCUCUUGUUCGGAACCAUGCCCCUAAAACCGACAUACAUUCAGCUCCAGAUGGCAGAUCAGACAUUCCGAAAGGUUGAAGAUAUAGUAACUGAUGUCCCUGUCAAAAUAGACGAUCAUUUUGUCCAUACAGACUUUCAGGUUAUUGACAUGGGAGAAGACGAGUACGAUCCACCCAUCAUCCUUGGGAGACCGUUCCUCAGCACCGUUAAAGCAAUCAUCUACAUUGGAACUGGAGAAGUCCACAUGCACUUCCCCUCGGAGAAGAAGACGACGCAACUGCAACCAGAGGAGGCAAAUCAUCAAGGACGGAUGGGCAGACUAUGAAGGAGAAGUGGUAAGGUCUGAAGACAUACAACUUGAACAGAAUUAUCCUAAAGAGACCGUAGCACCGAGUCAGGUGUGGAGAGAGAAGAUAGUUAUACAUGAAGAAGAGGCGCCGCCGGAAGCACCGACUACGCCAUCCAACGAAUUCCAGGACAACUGAGAAAACGGAGAGUCCCGUUCGGAGGACUUAAAAACACCGAACGCCUUGCCAAGAGAUAAACUUGGUAGUUAUCUUUUUCCUUUCAAUUAUUCCAAAUAGUUUUCUUAGUUAAUCAGAUUUAUACUAUCCAAAAAAGAAAAUAAAAAUGUUAAAAAAUAGUAAGCCCCAUGUGAGUAUACGAAUGGCAUAAAACCCAUAAGUACAUUCACUAUGGAGGCAUAAAAAUAAAAUAAAUAUUUUUUCUGCUUUAUAAAAUGAAAAUAUAAAAAUAGAGAGUAACAUUUAUUGAGGAGGCUCAACAUGAUAAUGGCUAGAUAUUUAUGCUAACACCUAAUUAGUUCCACAAAGCUUUGUUGUCUAUUUGAGCUCUACAGAAUUCAUGUAUCAAGAAGACUAGGAGACAGAGGAUAUUCUAAUCGCUGUCAGGGUGCUGUGGACUUUUAAAUACACCUCUGCCACCUGUUAGCUACAUCAGAAAAAAUUACGUCAAAAUUCAGCUUGGGGGAGAGCACCCCCAUUUAUCCCGCUAAGUAUUUCUAUCUACAUAUAUACUUAUACUAUAUUAAAAUAAAAAUACGCAUAACCAGAAAAAACCAAAUAAAGAUUUUGUGCUUAUAUAUCUUUUGCUUAGUGUGCUUAAUAAAUAAAUAAAGUGGCUAUGCUAAACUUAAUCUUAAUAAUAAAACUCUAGCAUGGAUAUGAUGAAUAGUUGCUCUGCCUAAUUUUCAAAUUUGAGUUCUCUCUCUAGUUUAGACAUAACCGUUAUAAUUUAAAGCUUGCUCUAAACCUGAACUUGUGGGAAGAGAACUUGAUCUGAAGUUUAAGUUGUUAACGGAUAUGAUAUGGGAAGGUUGAGCUGCUGUUUAUCUGUUUCUAGAGAUGCUAAAAUUCUGGAGAAUUUUAUCUUUGAAAAUCUUUAAAAUAUCACAUGAUGAGUUCCUGUAUGAUGAGAAGUUUAAAUUCCUACCACAGCCAUAUAUACAUGCUUGCUAGACUUUGAGCCACACAUUUACUUUUUACUGCUUAUGAGCAUUGAGUGUGGUCAAGCUGUGUAGAUCUAUAGGAGCUUGUCAUGUGGUUAAAUCAAGAUUCACUUGCACGUUCACUCACACAUGCUGCUUCUACUCCGGAAGUACGCAUCCAUAUAUAUCCACUCAUUUCCAUCUCAAGAACCACCCAAAAGUAUUCUACUCCUAAUCCAGGAGAGAAUAGCCAAAAACAUUUCUGUUCUGUGAAAUAAAUGCUCAAGUUAUCUUGGUUACUACCACUUGCUAUAUUAUUUCAGGAGAUGAGUGCUCUAAAAGAAAAAAAAAUAUACGAGGAAAUAAAAAGGGGCAAGUGCCCGGAACCUCGAAAGAAAAGAAAAAGUGAGACGAGAGGUAAAAAUGGACAAGUGUCCGACAGUAGAAUUAGGGGUACAAGAUACCCACCUGAAAGGAAAGAAAAAAAAAUAUAGAGCAUCUCAUUCUCCUCAAAAAGUUUCAAAAGAGCAAGAAAGGUAUGUAUCCCCUCAAAAGAGCAACAAGUAGAAUUAGACUUUCACCAUUGUUAUCACCAUCAACACCAUACACCAUUCAUUCGCCACACAUGCACAUCUUGAUUUGACUUAUUGACUUGUUUCUCUGGAUCCAUGGUUUGACUAUGCAAUAAAUGUCUUGUAAGUAUGUACACUUUAUCUCCCACCUAUGAGCUCCAAAUAUCAAAGCCUUAUUAGAGUAGGAUGAGAGAGAAGGCAAUGUCACUAUGCUUCAUACCACAUACUUUGAGAGAAGGCAUAUACCAUCACUGCCUUGGUAAGGAUCCAGAAAUACCACAAAAGCGAGAUCUGAGAGAGUCAUACAAGGAAUCUCUGAGUUUUAUUUGAAAAUCUGCAAAAAUUCCAGAGCUAUAGCUGAUCAAGAAUAAGAGACAUAGUACUUGACUAGACCGUUCUAUCUUUUAACUACUCAAGACAGAACUGACGGUUACAAGUCCCAUGGUAAAAGGUAAAAUAAGUAAGUUUGAAGUCUUGACAGUUUACUCUAACUCAGAGAUGAGACCUUAUUUGAAAGCAUGUGUACCGACAAUUUUUAAAGGCAUUACAGCAACUUCUGAUCCAUCACUGAGAUUAUCCUUGCUCAGGGACGAGCAAGAGGUAAGCUUGGGGGAGUUUGUUGACGGUCCUUAAGUAUCAAAUAUAAUCAACAAAUAAACAGAGAAAAGGAUCCAAAUGCAACCGACACCUAGACUUAGGGUUCUAUCUGACAGAAUUCCAUGAGUUUUGGUGUUUGUCUAUUUCUGCAGGGGGUUAUUAGGAAAUAUGGAAGAAAGGCCCACACGUCGGGUUUACAUAGAGAUAUUAACGUGCCACGCAAUUAUCUAACAUCUAGAAGAGUCCAGAAGGCACGGGAAUGAACGGGAGGCCGAUCGGGCCCGGGGGCAGGGCGCCCACCCUCCCCCCUUGGGCGCCCGCCCUGGCCAGGCAGCUAAUCAGAACCAACUUCGCGGAUCAUGCUCCACCGACCUAAAGGAUCAAGGAAAACCGUGCGAUUAAUGUCGGUUUGAUCCGACGGUCCACAUUCAUUUGGAAGGACUAUAUAAGCAGACCCCCUGGCCCCUGGAGGAGAGCACCUCUAUCCCUUAGAAACCCUAAUUCAUUUAUCCAUCUCGGGAGAAGAAGCCUCUGAUCAAGCCCUAGAGCCACCACAUCAAUAGAUCUCUAGUUUAGCAUAGCUACAUAGGAUUAGAACUAGAAGGAGUCAAUCUUCGAUUGGUUUCCAGAUCUGUCAAGAGGAUUCUUGGUAAUUCCUCUAUUGUUCUUCAAUUGUUCAUCAUUGUUCUUCAAUAUUAUGAAUAUGACUUUGUUCUACUUCAAUAUAUUGAUUAUGACUUUGCUCUAUUUGUUUAUAUUUGCAAUUAUAUUGUUCUUAGUUUAUCAUAGUUAUAUGCUUGGCUUAGUUAGAUUGGAAUUAUAUACAUGUUUAGGAUCGUAUAGCGUUUAUCCAUGUGUACAGUGGGUAAAUGAUAAGUAUUGUGUAGGCGUGGUGCCUAUACCGUAUUUAUCUACGAUUGUACUCUAUAUGCCAGAUCGCGGGGUAGUUCGUGGUAGUGACAGCUCUAUUGAUUCUUAUAUAGUCCCCAUCUCGUGUAUAGGGCUGGCAGUGCAACAUUAUUACAGGGGAGUGAUUGCUAUGUUUCUCAUCUUCCUUGAUAAUAUCACUAUGCAUGGGCGUAGUCCUGUCUCGCAAUGAUUGCCAAGUAUAAUUGCACUAACUAUGAUAUGCUAGACUUUAUAGUUAAGAAUAACUUAGGAAAUAUUCUUGUAGUUCGUCCUAAUUCCAUACUAAUGACUUGCUAGAAUAUCUAUUGAGGUGCUUAUCAUAUUUAUAUGUGGCUAAGUUAUGCUGAUCAGAUUAAUUAUCUUUGUCAUUAUUCAUACUUUAUCUAUCUUUUAUGUGACAUUUAUCCCUGUAUGAAAGAGAUGGAUAAAUGCUCUCAAUUAUACAUGCAGUGAUAGAUACUCAAUUCUAUAUUCCAUUCCAUAAUCAACAUUGAUGUUUAGCAAUCCCUUCCCAGUGGUAAAAAUAUAAAUAACGAUAACUAGAAUACUUCCCGGUUAAAAUGCUACAUCGGUAUUAAUCUGUGCACUUGCAGAUCUUAUUUAUUAUUUAUUCAGAAGAGCAAUUGCAUAUUUUAAUACUGCGUCUCUCAUGUCAUGCUGGGGAUGACAACUUGGCUUAAGUGGCAUGAGGGAUAGGUUUGGCAUUUUUGGCGCCGUUAUCAGAAUUAGAAAACUAAGUCUAUUUUUGGUAGUGACGUUAAGAAUGCCCAACAACUUCCAGGGCACAUACGUGCGUCCUGGAAAUUCCUGGGAUCUCAGGAGCUGCCGGCAGAAGUCUGACGAGUCUCUCUGAGAUUUCAUCAGGCGAUUCUCCAAGCAAUGCACCGAGCUUCCCAACAUCACAGACUCCGACGUCAUCGGAGCCUUCAUUGCUGGCACAACCUACAAAGAGCUGGUACACGAGCUCGGGCGCAAGACUCCCACGAGCACCAGUCAGUUGCUGGACAUUGCCACCAACUUUGCCUCAGGCGAAGAGGCAGUUGGUGCAAUUUUCUCCGAUGGCACCGCCAAGGGGAAGGCCACCGAGGCCUCAGACUCCCGCGACCCUAAGAAGAAGAGAAAGGGUCGCAAGGGGAAGCAGGGUCGGUCGGACGACAAUUUGGUCGCCGCGGCGGAUCGCAAGAACCCCAAGCGGGCUCCUGCUGGCCUCGGCCUCUACGUCGGUGCUAUACUGUGGGGGUAUAAACCUCUAUACCCUGACGGCUAGACUUGGGCCAGGAGGCUUGGCCCAUCAUGAGAUAGCUCGAGGCUUGAUCCAACUGCUUGGAGUUUCGCGCAAAGAAACAGGACGUAGGGAUCAAGCAGGAUUCUAGUCGGUUAGAAUAGGAAUUGAUAUUAUGUUACCUAUGGAAAUUGUAACCGACUAGGAUUAGUUUCCAAGAUCUGUAGCCCUACCCUCUGGACUAUAUAAAGAGAGGCAAGGGACCCCCCUUAGAUAACUCAACUCAACACAAUUCAAUCCGCAGCAAUACAAUCAGACGCAGCGCCCCCCCCGGGUUUUUCCCGCUUCCCGGUCAUUCCACCUCGACGAGGAGACAUGGUCCUCAACGUCAGCAAUGAUGAGCCAGCUAUCGACGGUGAAACCGACGAACAAAGACAGCAGCGCGAACAGCGCAACGCCGACCGCGCCCAACGAUGAGCAGAUGAGGAGCGGCAACUCAUCCCAAACAACCUUGGUGAUGCUUUCGACAUGGUCGGAAAUCAGCAAGUCUACAAGACACUAAGCGCUAAUGUGGCCGUCGCCAUGGCAAACUUAGAUCGACUUCCUGAUACUCCAGAAUAUCAGGACUCCGAUCUAACAUAUGAGCACAUCUGAUCGCCGCGAUGGGACAGACCGCUACUUUGCUCAAAAGGGUCCAAGCCAUCUCCUAUACGGAGGUUUCCUCUAACCAGACUCACCACAGCCGAACUUCACUGCGACCCAGCGGGCAUCAUCAUAGUCGUUCGCCCGUCAAUGAUUGCAGGAGGGACACCCAUCGCGACAACCGUGGUCGGGAUCCUGGCAAUUACCACGAACAAAGAUGAGGGCGUGGUCAGGAGGUGAACCAAGACCGAGACCUACGGCACAACAUCCCUCCUAAAGAUGUCCGCGAGCGCAUCAACAGGCGCAUUACAGAACGAGCAUUACACGAAAACGUACGACGCAUCGAGUACGAUGCGGCACAUGGCCCCCCGGCCUAAAACAGUUCUCCUCACACCUUCGCCAAGUCGUAUGACCCCGCAACUUCAAGCUCGAGAAGCUUAAAAAGUAUGAUGGCAAGGAGAAUCCCAAAAACUGGAUCACUCUUUAUGAGAUCGCAGUCCGAUCGGUAGCAGGAGACGAGCACGUCAUGGCAAACUAUUUCCCAGUCGUCUUUGACCAAGCUAGUCACCAAUGGCUCCUCGGUCUACCCGAGGACUCUUUUGAUUCUUGGGAGGAAUUGCGCCAGGCGUUUAUUGACAACUUCAUUGCUACGUGUGAGCAGCCUGGAAAUAAAUACGAUCUUGAGAGGAUAAGGGACAGGAAGAAUGAGCCCCUGCGCGACUACAUCCGACGCUUCUUGGAUAUGCGUCUCAAGAUUCUGAAGAUUUCCCACGACGAGGCCAUAUCAGCCUUCAUCAAAGGCUUGCGCUUCCACGAAGCACUAAGAAGCAAAUUACUACGCAAAAGGUCGACCAUGGUCGCCGAACUCCUCGCCACAGCCAAGAACUACGCCGAUGCCGACGACGCAGAAAAACUCAUCCGAGAAGACGUACGAGGAGCCGAGCAGCCUCCUCGACGAGACGAUAGCUGUGGCCGUUUUGACAACCGGAAUCCCUGCCACGGCAACAACCGCGACCACCGAGAAGGGUGGGACAGGCGUCAUGAUAAUCGUGACAAUUUCAGAGGCAAGCGACCUCGCGACAGCGAUCACGAGGUAAACACAGUCAAGCGUCCCAACGGACGGCGUUACUACCAGGAAGACUACAACAAGACGCUGAAAGGAUCGUGCCAACUCCAUCCCAAGUCCAACCACAUGAUGGAAGAAUGCCGUGUCCUCAAAAGCAUCUACACACAGUGGGCCGAUCAGGGAGACGCCGCCAAGAAAAACGGGAAACAGGACAGACGCAGUCAGGAAGACGACGAUGAUGACCAGGAUAGGGACCCACCACACCAAUACGUUAGUCCCACCGAUGUGGUAUGUUGACGAUUCUUAAGUACCAAUUUUAAUUAUCAAAUAAACAAGAGAAAUGACCAAUAUGCAAACAACACCUAGAAUUAGGAUUUGAUCUGACAGAAUUCCACGAGUUUUGUUGUUUAUCUGUUUCUGCAGGGGGUUAUCAGGAAAUAAGGAAGAAAGGCCCACAUGUCGGGAUUACAUAGAGAUAUCAAUGCACCGCGCGAUUUUCUACCAUCUAGAAGACUCCAGAAGCCACGGGAAGAAAGCAGAGGCCGAAAGGGGCCAGGCCCAGGGCGCCCGCUCUGGUGACCUGGGCGCCCGCCCCCUGCUGGAAGCCAUUCAGGACUCUCUUCGCACACGAUGUUCCACCGACCUAUUGGAUCCAGAAUAACGUAGUACCACCUCGCCUACCGACCCAAAAACGCAUAGAGGAGGAGGACUAUAUAAGGAGACCCCCCUGGCCCCUAGAGGUGAGGGGUGCCCUCGAAGGAAAACCUCUUCUCUAAUUAAUAUUUCUUUUUAGGCUUAGCAACCAAUGUAAAGUAGAAAUAGAUCUUCUAGUUUCUACUAGAUUGAGAGAGAUAGAGUGGAGGUGUAGAUUGGAGGAAGUCCGGCCUGUCGGUGUCUACUCCAAGCUUGUAUCUGCGGGAUCAAGUUCUCCUAACCCGAAGCUUGCUCCUAGGAUUCUUCAGUAUUUCGACUUCUAAAUUCUAGUAAGUUCUUGUUUUAUUGUUCUUCUAGUUUAUGAGUUUACUUUAAUCUCUUCGCGUAGAGUUUAGAGUAAUCAUUGCUGGCGUAAACGUGGUGUUUAGGCUAGGGUACUCAUAGAUAUUCCCUGACUAGCUAGACCGUGGUAGUAGCGAGGAACGUGACAAUUCCGAGUUACCUUUGCAGACCAUAUCUCGUUAGCAGGAAGGAUAGGGUUUAUAUGUGCGGGUUGAACAUCCUUUGUGGUGUCUAGAUUCCGUUAGCCUCCCCAAUAGAACAGUAGAUCAUCUUUACCAAGGUUAGAAGGAGACUACGGUUGCAGUCUUCUCUAUUUAUCACUCACAUCGAAAGACAUUCUUUGUGCCUAAAGGGUUAGUAGUAAUAGACCGGUUAGUCAGAUGCACUCUUUCUCCUAGUGCUAAAAAAAUAAAUACGAUACUCUGGAUAACCUCCCGGGUGAAGUGCUCACCGAUAUCCGUGCGCUUGCGGAUCAAUUCCUUAUUGCGUUCCCAAAUAUCAACAAGCAUUUCUGGCGCCGUUGCCGGGGAGAAAGACGGUUUGCUGAGAUAACCUUGAGUCUUACUACUAGCUUGUAUCUAUACUUUUAUCUUUUCUUAUCUUUUAUAUUCUUUGCUUAUUUUCUUUAUUCUUACCUUAUGAAAAACCAAAAUUCUAAAUUUAUCCAUGAAUCUGCAAUCCCUUCAGCAACUGACCUUUUACCAUGGGAAUCAUCACAGCCUAUCCAAACAUCCGAGUAUAAGUUAAGUUCUAGGUUGAUUGCCAUGAUUCAAAACCUAUCUUUUUCGGGAAAGGAAGACGAAAACCCUUACCUUCAUAUUAGAGAUUUUGAGCAAACAUGUGAUUGUCUUCGCAUUGAAGGCAUUUCUGAUAAAACUUUACGUUGGAAGCUUUUUCCUUUUUCUUUAAGAGGAGAAGCUAGACAAUGGUACAGUCAGAAGGUAAGUCAACAACGAGGUGAAUGGGGAGUUUUACGAGCCAACUUUUGUCUAGAUUUCUAUUCCCUCGACCGUAUAGCCGACCUUAGACUCGAAGUCCUAUCUUUUAAACAAAAAGAUAAUGAAACUUUGGGAAAAUCCUGGAAACGUUUUUCUGAUCUUUUAGAAUCUAGUCCAAACCUUAAUUUUGAAGACCCUGUUCUUUUAUUUCACUUUUUUCGAGGUCUUCAAAAAAAUCACAAACAAAUGCUACAUACAAUGUCUAGAGGUUCUUUCUUUCGUAUCCCUACUGAUGAAGCUAGAGUGAUCCUAGAUAGAAUCCUAGAAGCUGAGAUAGAUAAUACCCUUCAUGAUGAAACCUACGAAGUCGAAGUAGACACUCUGCCAAAUUCUUUAUCUACUUUAGCUAUCCCAAGUUCUGAGCCACAAGAGGAAGAAAUUCCACCACCGGACUUCAUGCUGGAUAUAGAAUCUGAUCUUUUUGCCGAUUUUGGAAACAUUUCAAACUACCAUUCUAUUGACAAACCCCAAAACGACCAGUUUAGCAUUUAUUUGCCAAGUGAAUAUCAAUUGAGAGAGCUUAUCUCAGUCAUGAGUAGCGAAUGGUUGGAGGAAUCAGAGCUUUCCUCUGAUGUGAUCCGUUUGGACACACCCUCUAUAACUAUACACUGUGCUUAUAAUUCUGAUCGAUUUAAUGCUCUCUAUAAUCCUGUUGUGGGGAUCAACAUCAUGUCUGAAUCUUUUGCACUUAAACUAUUCAAAAAUCUUGUCUUAACCCCCACAACAAUGGUCAUAAAGGAAUCUUCAGGACGAUUAGUCCCCAGUCUUGGAAUUAUUAAUGUCCUACCUCUUACGAUAGAAGGCUCCAUGGUUCAUUUGAACUUUUAUAUCUUUGAUACAUGGGACUUCGACCUGUUGAUAGGACAACCUUUUAGAAGACUCCUUUAUGAAGGUCAUACUGGAAAGCUACACAUUUCUUUUGGAAAAGCCUUUAAAUUCCCAAUAACAAUUUCACACUCCUUAAAUAAUAAGGCCGAGUCAUAUCUUUUGCCUGAUCCUAUGGAGGAGGUAAAGGCUGCAUCUCUAGAGCUUUUAGAUGAACCAGACUUAGAAGACGAAACUCCUUUCUUCACUAAAGAAGAAACCGAACCUUCUGAACCUGAACCCUUAGAUGAGUUUGCAGAAACACCUAGACCCCCCCAUAGAGCUUAAAACUUUACCACCCGGUCUUACCUAUGCUUUCCUAAACAAUAAUCUAGAGUUUCCUGUGAUCAUUAGCGAUAAACUCACUCAGGAUCAAACUCUGCGAUUAAUGACCAUUCUUGAGAAACAUCACUCAGUUUUCGGCUACUCACUCCAAGAUCUUACAGGAAUCAGUCCUAUGAUUUGUACCCAUCGUAUUCCAACAAAUCCUUCUGUUUCACCUUCUCGAGAACCCCAACGUAGACUUAAUAACACUAUGAGAGAGGUAGUUAAAAAGGAAGUUAUAAAGUUGCUGCAUGCAAGGAUUAUAUAUCCUGUGCCGCAUAGUGAGUGGGUGAGCCCAGUACAAGUUGUGCCUAAAAAGGGAGGCAUGACUGUUAUUAUGAAUGAAAAGAACGAGCUAAUUCCGCAACGCACCGUCACACGAUGGCAGAUGUGCAUAGACUAUAGAAAACUAAACAAAGCCACAAGAAAGGAUCACUUUCCUUUACCUUUUAUAGAUGAGAUGCUAGAGCGAUUAGCGAAUCAUUCGUUCUUCUGUUUUUUAGAUGGAUAUUCAGGGUAUCACCAAAUCCCGAUCCAUCCUGAUGAUCAAAGCAAAACCACUUUUACAUGCCCAUAUGGAACUUAUGCUUAUCGUAGAAUGUCUUUUGGGUUAUGUAAUGCACCAGCUUUUUUUCAAAGAUGCAUGAUGUCUAUAUUUUCUGAUAUGAUUGAAGAGAUUAUGGAAGUUUUCAUGGAUGAUUUCUCUGUUUAUGGAAAAACUUUUGAUAGUUGUCUUGAAAACUUAGACAAGGUUUUGCAAAGAUGUGAAGAAAAGCACUUAGUCCUUAAUUGGGAAAAAUGUCAUUUUAUGGUUAGAGAAGGAAUAGUGCUGGGACACCUAGUGCCUGAAAGAGGUAUUGAGGUAGAUAAAGCUAAAAUUGACGUAAUUGAACAACUACCUCCACCUGUGAAUAUAAAAGGAAUUCGAAGCUUUCUUGGCCAUGCUGGUUUUUAUCGUAGAUUCAUAAAAGAUUUUUUAUUUAUUGCUAGACCACUUACUCUUUUGCUAGCCAAGGAUGCUCCUUUCGUAUUUGAUGAUGCAUGUCUAACAUCUUUCAAUUUAUUAAAGAAAGCACUCAUCUCUGCACCAAUCAUUCAACCCCUGAUUGGUCGUUGCCUUUUGAAAUUAUGUGUGAUGCUAGUGAUUAUGCUGUGGGGGCAGUUUUGGGACAAACUAAAGAUAAGAAGCAUCAUGCAAUUGCUUAUGCCAGUAAAACUUUGACAGGAGCUCAACUUAAUUAUGCAACCACCGAAAAAGAGCUUCUGGCUGUUGUCUUUGCCAUUGAUAAAUUUAGAUCUUAUUUAGUUGGAGCUAAAAUAAUUGUUUACACUGAUCAUGCUGCACUAAAAUAUUUGCUCACUAAAAAAGAUGCUAGACCUCACCUGAUUAGAUGGAUCUUAUUACUCCAAGAAUUUGACUUAGAAAUAAAAGAUAAAAAGGGAGUAGAAAAUUCUGUUGCUGAUCACUUGUCUAGAAUGUAUUUUAAGAGUCCACAGGAAACCCCCAUCAAUGAUUCACUCCGGGACAACAUGCUCUACGGGAUUAACAGGUCUGACCCCUGGUAUGCAGAUAUUGUUAAUUCUAUGGUUUCAGAGUAUGUACCACCAGGAGCAAACAAGAAGAAGCUUAUUCAAGAAAGUCGUUCACAUAUAUGGGAUGAGCCAUACCUCUUCCGAGUAUGCUCUGAUGGCUUACUCAGGAGAUGUGUGACCACUGAAGAAGGAUGGAAGAUCAUCGACAGAUGUCAUUCAUCACCAUAUGGAGGUCACUAUGGAGCAUUUCGUACACAUUCAAAGAUCUGGCAGUGUGGAUUCUACUGGCCUACAAUGUAUGAAGACACGAAGCAAUAUAUCAGAAGAUGUGGGCCAUGUCAAAGGCACGGAAACAUAAAUACAAGGGAUGCAAUGCCACUCACCACCAACCUUCAGAUUGAGCUCUUUGAUGUCUGGGGAAUAGACUAUACGGGUCCAUUUCCUCCAUCAAAGAAGUGUGAGUACAUCUUGGUGGCAGUUGACUAUGUCUCCAAGUGGGUAGAGGCAUUACCUUGCAAGCAUGCCGACAACAUCAGUUCAAAGAGGAUGUUUGAAGAAAUUAUAUUUCCAAGAUUUGGAGUCCCCAGAGUAGUGAUAAGUGAUGGAGGAGCACACUUCAUCAACAAAUGCUUCAAGCAAUAUCUAUCAAAACAUGGAAUCCGUCACAACGUCGCUACCCCCUAUCAUCCUCAGACAUGUGGCCAAGCAGAGACUUCCAACAAACAAAUCAAGAAUAUUCUUCAGAAGACAGUAAAUGAAAUGGGAACGGCAUGGAAAGACAAGUUACCCGAUGCACUCUGGGCAUACCGGACAGCAUACAAGACCCCAAUUGGAAUGUCACCAUACCAAUUGGUGUACGGGAAGACUUGCCAUCUACCUGUUGAACUAGAGUUCAAAGCACACUGGGCCAUAAAGAGAUGGAAUAUGGACCUAGAUGUUGCUGGAGAUUAUAGAAGAAUGCAACUAUCAGAAUUGGAAGAAUGGCGAGAGAAAGCAUAUCACAAUUCAAAGAUCUACAAAGAAAGAGUCAAAAGGUGGCAUGACAAGAGAAUCAAGAAGAAGGAGUUCACACCCGGAGAUAAGGUAUUACUUUUUAAUUCUAGGGUAAAGCUUUUCGGGCAUGGAAAACUCCGGAGCAAAUGGGAAGGACCAUUCAAGGUAAUUAAUUCAUCAUCCCACGGAGCCAUCACACUUCAAAAUGACGAAGGUACGUUAUUCAAGGUAAAUGGCCAACGUCUUAAAUUAUUUUUAGAGCCAAUAAAGAAUUAUAAGAAAUAGACAUAGUCUAUUUUUACCUUCCCAUGGAGAAUUAGAGCCCGACCUUUUUAGUCUGAUGUUUUCGGGUCAUAUAUAUAUUUUUCUAAAUAGUUUUGCAUCCAGUAACGCGCUCGAGAAAGUGGGCCCAUAGAGGGGCCAGAGAGAGGGCGGGCGCCCAGCUCAGGUGGGCGGGCGCCCAGCUCCUGUUCCCCCUCGGUCCCGAUUUUCUCUGUUAUGGAAAAUGCACUUAUGGUAAUCCGAAUAAUCCCUCAGAUGGAAAGUUUCGCACGCACAUCGACGGGAGCAACCCAAACAACCCAUAGAGGCACUUUUUGACCCCUAUAUAAACAGACCCCUGACCUCAGUUUUCAAACGCCAAGCCAUCAAGUCUUCUCUUCUUCUUCAAUUAGAGCUUGAUUAGUUCCUUACUGCUCCAAUGGCCGAGAAGUACCACGAUGAUUGGGAAGUCGUCCCCUUCAACCUCAACAUGGAGCCUGUGGAAGACCCCGAUGCCCGUGCUCUCGUCCCGGCCAACACAGAGCGACAGCUAGAAGCCAUGCCAUUACGCCAGCGCAGCUCUGCCUAAUCCUACCAUGCUCAACCAGUUCUCACCGCACCGCCACAACCCCUACUCCUCACGGGAUCAUCAUCCAAGACGAAGACCACCAUCAAGGUGCCAACCGGCACAAGGAUCCUUCCACCUAGACCCAAUGAGAGAGUCGUUGGAGUCAAGACCAACCGGAGCGGCGAGAUCAGCAGCGUACGCUACACUAUGGAGGAGGAAAGGCCUUACUUCGAAGGGAUUAGAGCAGCCAAAGUCCGUUUCAUCCCUCCAAAGGCAGCCCCGAAGCACGCUCUCAAUGCUUUUGAGACACCUCCUAAGCGUCGCAAGACUAUAGUCGAUAUUGAUGAGGACGUUCGUAGAAUAGACAGAAUUAUCAUAGACCUCCAGUCCUCGAUUAACUCCCUCACUAGGCAGCUCUCUAACCACAACACCAUCAUACUAGGCCUCAGGCAGGAUCUUGCUAGUGCCAACAAGAAGAUUAAGGAAUUAUAGCGCCGCUAAGUUAUCUAGAUUAGACCUUGAGACAAUGCAUCUUAGUUAUCUAUCUUUAAAUUCGGUUUAGGUUUACUAUUAUCAUCAGUUUGCUACUAGUUAUUUGUAAUAAAUGCCUCAAGAUUAAUAAAGAGUAUUAUUAUUAUUAUUAUUAUGUCUUGUGUGUCUCUACUUUAUUUUUGUGCAAGAAAGCAGAAAACAAGUAUGGGGGAGAUCCCUCAACAUGCCAAACACACUCCGACUACACCACUCCACGAUUCAGGUACACACUCUGCACACUUUACUUUACACCUACACAUAUCUUAGAUUAUGCAGAAUACUGUUUCCGACAAGAUAAAUUAAAAAGAUUAAAACAUUUCUAAUCAUGAUUAAUCUCACUCUGUUAUAUUUCCUGAAACUUGCAAUUAUUAUAAAAUCAUUUUAAAACCAUGUGUUACUUAAGAUAGUAUGGAAUGUGAGAUGGUAGAGUACGAGUUUCUUAUUCUUGAUAUCAUUGUUACUUGGAGAAUUUAUUUCAAAAUCUUCAAAAUUCUAGCUACCAUCCUCAGUGUUUUAUAUGCCUGAUAAAACUGAAAAUAUUAAUUAUGAUUAUAAAAGCUAUCUACUCUGUAUUGAGUUUGUUCAAAAUGAGUUAGACCCUUGUUGAGAGAUUAAUCAUGCUCCUAAGAUCAAGACAUUUAUUCAGAAAGAUUCACUCUUCCGAAGUAUUAUUGCAUUAGAGGCAUGGGCUAUGCAAAAAUAAAGAUAUUUUGAGGAAAUAAAAAGGAGCAAGUGCUCGACAACCUCGUAGAAAAAAUGGACAAGUGUCCAGCAGUAGAAUUAGGGAUACCUCGGUAUCCACUGAAAAAAAGAGAAGAAAAAGAGAAAAUGAUAGCCCAUGGUCCCUCUAAUAAGCAAUAUACCAGCAAGAGUUGACAAAGAUUUUAAUUUCCAAAGUCUUUGAUCUAAGAGUAUGACAUUCCCCUCCUCGAAUCCCGUUUUGAUCAGGCAAUAAAUGCAAAGUAAGUAUGCUUAAGAAUUUUUGCAAAUUAAAACAGCCUCAGUGAGAUAUAUAGAAGGUAAUGAGUGAUCUGAGAGAACCUAUGAGGAUAAAAGGUAUGCAAACUUUCUUUCAAAAAUAUACAAAAACUCCAAGUGACAGGAUUGAGAAGAAAGGAUCUUUAAUCUUAACCAUAUACUUCCCUGACUAUAGUACACAGUGGAUUUUUACACCCUACAGUUAUGAAGAGAAUGUCUUUAAAAUGUUUUACCCCAGAUAUUGUUCUUAACCAUCCUUUUCUCGAGGACGAGUAAAAGCCUAAGUAUGGGGGUAUUUGUUGACGGUUCUUAAGUACCAAUUUUAAUUAUCAAAUAAACAAGAGAAUGGACCAUUAUGCAAACAACACCUAGAAUUAGGGUUUGAUCUGACAGAAUUCCAUGAGUUUUGUUGUUUAUCUGUUUCUGCAGGGGGUUAUCAGGAAAUAAGGAAGAAAGGCCCACAUGUCGGGAUUACAUAGAGAUAUCAACGCACCGCGUGAUUUUCUACCAUCUAGAAGACUCCAGAAGCCACGGGAAGAAAGCAGAGGCCGAAAGGGGCCAGGCCCAGGGCGCCCGCCCUGGUGACCUGGGCGCCCACCCCCUGCUGGAAGCCAUUCAGGACUCUCUUCGCACAUGAUGUUCCACCGACCUAUUGGAUCCAGAAUAACGUAGUACUACCUCGCCUACCGACCCAAAAACGCAUAGAGGAGGAGGACUAUAUAAGGAGACCCCCUGGCCCCUCGAGAAGACAUGAAGAAGUUAUCAUAGAGAUUGAGGGGUGCCCUCGAAGGAAAACCUCUUCUCUAAUUAAUAUUUCUUUUUAGGCUUAGCAACCAAUGUAAAGUAGAAAUAGAUCUUCUAGUUUCUACUAGAUUGAGAGAGAUAGAGUGGAGGUGUAGAUUGGAGGAAGACCGGCCUGUCGGUGUCUACUCCAAGCUUGUACCUGCGGGAUCAAGUUCUCCUAACCCGAAGCUUACUCCUAGGAUUCUUCAGUAUUUCGACUUCUAAAUUCUAGUAAGUUCUUGUUUUAUUGUUCUUCUGGUUUAUGAGUUUACUUUAAUCUCUUCGUGUAGAGUUUAGAGUAAUCAUUGCUGGCGUAAACGUGGUGUUUAGGCUGGGGUACUCAUAGAUAUUCCCUGACUAGCUAGACCGUGGUAGUAGCGAGGAACGUGACAAUUCCGAGUUACCUUUGCAGACCAUAUCUCGUUAGCAGGAAGGAUAGGGUUUAUAGGUGUGGGUUGAACAUCCUUUGUGGUGUCUAGAUUCCGUUAGCCUCCCCAAUAGAACAGUAGAUCAUCCUUACCAAGGUUAGAAGGAGACUACGGUUGCAGUCUUCUCUAUUUAUCACUCACAUCAAAAGACAUUCUUUGUGCCUAAAGGGUUAGUAGUAAUAGACCAGUUAGUCAGAUGCACUCUUUCUCCCAGUGGUAAAAAAAUAAAUACGAUACUCUGGAUAACCUCCCGGGUGAAGUGCUCACCGAUAUCCGUGCGCUUGCGAAUCAAUUCCUUAUUGCGUUCCCAAAUAUCAACAUGGUACACUCCAUUUUUGGAGGGAAAGUCUCCAUCGAGUCAAAACAAGAAAGAAAACUCUUGAAGAGGGCUUGCCUCAAUGUGGACUGCGCCGAUGGUUUGAUCGCCGACCCUAAAUUCCCCCUAGUUGCACCGAGAGAUUUCCUUCAGCAGACAGGACCAGUGGGCUGCCAUCCCUGAACCAGGGCGCUUCCCGUUAAUCCUAGACCCGUGCAUCAACAGCGUCAGGUUUGAGCGCGUGCUCGUCGACGGGGGUAGCUCCAUCGACAUCCUGUUUCGCAACAGCCUGCCUGCUCUCAAGCUAACUCCGGCGCAGCUGAAACCAUAUGACGCUCAGUUCUGGGGCGUCCUGCCAGGUCAAAGCUCAGUACCCCUUGGCCAGAUAACGCUGCCCGUCCAAUUUGGGACACCAGACCACUUCCGCAUAGAGUUCGUCAACUUCGUGGUCACCGACUUUGACGGGACCUACCAUGCAAUUCUAGGCCAUCCUUCGCUCACCAAGUUUAUCGCAGUUCUGCACUACUCAUACCUGGUCCUCAAGAUGCCAACCGAGAAGGGCGUUUUAACCGUCAGAGGCAACGUCUACAUGGCAUACACCUACGAAGAGGAAAGCUUCAAGAUCACCGAGGCAAUCGACCUCUCGAUUCGCAUGGCAGAAACGGUAGCACAAGCAACACAAAUAUCAGCCGACCAGCUCAAACUACCCGAGCAGGAGACUUCAAGAAAAAACACCAAGUCCAAGGAGCACAAGGAAGUCCAACUGGUCGACGGCAGCCCAGAGAAGAUGGCUCUCAUCGGGGCCAAUCUGGACGCCAAAUAGGAAGACACGCUCGUCAGGUUUCUAAGGGACAACGUAAGCGUUUUCGCAUGGAAACCUGCGGACAUGCCCGACGUCCCACGAAGCCUGAUCGAGCACUCCUUAAACAUCUCGAAGACCGCAAGACCUAUCAAGCAAAAGCUACGACAGUUCGCUUGUGACAAAAAGGAGGCUAUUAGGACAGAGAUUACACAACUUUUAGUAGCCGGGUUUAUUAAAGAAGUGUAUCACCCCGAUUGGCUCGCCAAUCCGGUCCUUGUAAGAAAAAAGAAUAAUGAAUGAAGAAUGUGCGUUGAUUACAUCGAUCUCAACAAACACUGUCCUAAAGAUCCUUUUGGUCUUCCCCGCAUAGACGAAGUGGUCGACUCAACGGCCGGAUGCGAACUACUUUCUUUUCUCGAUUGUUACUCUGGUUACCACCAGAUCUCGUUAAAAGAGGAUGAUCAGAUUAAAACCUCCUUCAUCACUCCUUUCGGUGCAUAUUGCUACACCACCAUGUCCUUUGGACUAAAAAACGCUGGAGCCACCUAUCAACGUGCCAUUCAACAAUGCCUCCACGACGAGAUACGCAACGACCUCGUCGAGGCUUACAUCGACGAUGUUGUCGUUAAGACCAGGGACGCUAGCACUCUAAUCGACAACCUAGAACGCACAUUUAAAGUGCUAAACAAGUACAAGUGGAAGCUUAACCCCAAAAAAUGCAUCUUCGGGGUCCCCUCCGGCAUACUGCUCGGCAACGUCGUCAGCCGCGACGGCAUACGACCAAACCCUUCAAAAGUCAAGGCGGUACUCGAUAUGCGACCACCCAGAAACAUCAAAGAUGUUCAAAAGCUCACACGAUGCAUGGCUGCUCUAAGCCAGUUUAUUUCUAGGCUGGGAGAAAAAGGGCUUCCUUUCUUUAUGCUGCUAAAGGCAUCCGAGAGAUCCUCCUGGACAGAAGAGGCCAAUAUCACAUUCGCCCAGCUCAAAACUUUCAUCACCUCACCACCCGUCCUCACUGCGCCUCAACCUAACGAGGACCUGCUCCUCUAUAUAGCAGCAACUGAUCGGGUUGUCUCUACGGUGCUCGUAGUAGAGCGGGAUGAGCCAGGCCAUGUCUACAAAUUUCAGAGACCAGUAUACUUCAUAAGCGAAGUCCUAAACGAAUCCAAGACCAGGUAUCCCCAGAUACAAAAAUUAAUCUAAGCCAUCUUAAUCACCUUAAGGAAGCUGAAGCACUACUUCGAUGGCCAUCACGUUUUAGUUACUACGAGUUUUCCGUUGGGGGACAUCUUGCGCAACAAGAACGCCAACAGUAUAAUUGUAAAGUGGGCCAUGGAAUUAUGCCCAUUGUAACACCCUAAAUUUUGCUUCUUUGAAAAUAGAGAUAAAAUAAUUUAUUUUGUAUUUUUGUGCUCAUAAAAAUAUAGUAAAAUGAAAUUUUUCCUUAAAUUAAUAUUCAUCAUAGGGUUUAGCAACGUUGUUGUGCAUACAUGCCGGUACAUAUGUUUUAUGUGAUGUUUGUUUGUUGCUCCUUUGUGUGUUGAGACUAAGCAAAGUUUUUAAAAUUGCGUUAAGUAGAACGAUCUUCCUUGGUCAGUACAUCUUUACCUUUAUCUACAACCAAAUCCCUUGUUUCUAAGCUCAAGUUUUUAUUACGAGCUUCCUAAAAUCUUUUCUUUAUCACCUAAAUUCCUUCUUUUAGUUUCUCAUUCAUCAAGCAGUCUCUACAACGUGAUCGCCCUCAGUCCGGUGUCGAUCCGUCCGUCGCCCUGCUUUCCAUCUCCGCUUCGUACUUAUCUGCGAAAUCUCUAUUGGUGAGUUUGUUUUCCCCGCAUCAAAUCGUGGCCGUAGGCUUAAGUUUCAUGCUCGCCGGCUAGGAGCUCGUUGCUGCCAAUGGCUGGCUUCCAGGCGUGUGCUCUGCUCCAAUUAGUUUACCUUGGUUUCUAAAUCAAAAUACGUUUUCAGUAAUUACAAAAUUGCCACCAGAUUUGUUUAGCUCAUAAAAUCUUCAUUUUAACUCCGAUUUGAUCCAUUCAAAUUGCGUUAGUUUCGUAAUCACAAGAUCUACAUGUUAGUCUCACUGUUUUACAAGUUUACAACUUUUUAUUUUCGUGAACCUAUUUAAUUAAUUAUUUUAUUAAAGGAAAUCUUAGAAAAUUCAUAUCUUUUUUGUUAUAUCUCCGAUUUUCGUGAUCUUUAUGUCUGUGUGAUCGUAGUGCAACGUAGAUUCAUUUUAUAAACUUUUCAUCUUUAUUUUCUACUGUUGGUGUAUUGUUCUAAUUAUAGGUUUGUUUGCUUUGUAUGAUUGCCUCUAGAUGAUUGUUGUUGAUGUUUUGACUGAGUUUAGACGGUGAGCUUUUACGUGGUGAUCAAGAAGCAGUUUAUGGAAGGUUUGGAACUAAAAGAAGGAUCUGAGUUUUAAGGCAAGUAUAGCAUGGGAUCAACCUUGUUUUCUAAUAACUUUAACCACACAAUUCAUAUUGCAUGUGUCUCUUUGCUAAGAAUUUCCUAGUAUUGAUCUUAUAACUUGUCACCUAUGGUUUUGCAUUGGGUAGCUUGCGCUAGUGCUCUACUAAACCAUGACAUUGUAAUUUGAUUAAUGGAAUAUGCAAUAAACAUUAAAAGAGGACUUUUUAGCAACUUUGGUAAAGAGGGCUGGAGCAUUGGGCUAUCUUAUGGUGCUCUAGUUUCUCUCCAUAAGGACUUAUCUGUAUCUGACCAUCCGGGACAUACAGUACAACUGUGAGGGCUACAUGGCUCUGGCUUUAGCUCAGUAUGAGGACCUUUUCUAGCUUGUUAGUGGUUACCCAUGUGGCGCAAAUGGGGAAUAGCAGACCAUGGAUUCCUGCGGGUGAAUCACAUGGACUGACUAAUGAAACCAAGCGGCCCUAACUUGUUAGACGAACCUUUGAAAGGCUUCAUAGUGAACCGUGUCGGCCUCCCUAGGAAGGGGGUUAAGAGAUUAGCUACCUCGGGCGAAAGGGUAAAUCACGACUCACAGUGAAAGUGUACAACCUCUGCAGAGUGUAAAACUGAUAUAUCAGCCGUGCUCACGGUCACGAGCGGCCUUCGACCAAUACAGAAUAAAUGAUCACUAAUGGCAAAUUAUUAAAGUUAUUGUUGUUAAUAUGUUGUUUAUGCUAUUCUUUAUUCAUUUUACCUGAUCAUGAGUUUACUAUGGGACUUGACAACUUGAUGCUACUCAUAUGCUAAAAUUGUGACAACUAAAAGCUACAUGCAGUUCAACCAGUGUCUAGCCUUUGAGCCUCAUGAACCCUAUGCUAUUCUUGCUGAGUACGAGAUGUACUUACGCUUGCCUUUACAUUUUAUUUGGAUAAAAAUCCUGGAUGGGUACCAGAUUGCUAGUUUGGAGAAGAGUUUAGGCUUGUGCUCAACCAGUCAGUUGUCCCUGUAGAUUUGGAGCUUUCGCCUGAAGAACGGAGUGUCUUUCCGCUGUUUGCUAUCUAAGGUUAUAUCUUUUAUACUAAGUUCGUUAUAUAUAAGCAUUGUUUAUUGAUAUUACCCCUAUUUGUGGCUAUAUGUGAGAUUUGACUUCCUGGGCUCACAUAUGGUGUGUAUCUGGUUUUGUCCUUAAAACCGGGUGCUACAAAGUGGUAUCAGAGCAAUGCUGGCUGUAGGACGCAAGCCUAGUUAGAAAUUGGCCAUCUUAAGGAUUUGAAAUUGCUAUAAGAUCCUUGCUCUAUAAACCUUGAUAUUUUCCUCUACACUAUAUCAUUUCCCUUGCUAUUCAUCUCCACCUUGUUGCUGGUUUUAAAGUCUUGUUCUCACCCUCACUCCUUGCUUUGAUAUGCUAUUAGGACUUUGUCUCACCACUUUCUUAUGUCAUUAAAUGAGAAGCUUUAGGAUCUUUACCCUUACUAUGAAGAUAACGAUAGUAUCGCAAGUUGAGUGAGUGUGAACCUUCAAUGCUCAGUUGGUUUGUUAUUAUGCCUAUGCAUGCUUUGGAUCUUUGUAAUGAUUAUAAUGAUUUUGUGGAUUAUUCCAUGAUUUCAUUUAACCUAUAGGUCUAAGGCAUAAGGAUUAAUGAAAUAAAUAGCUUGGGUUUUGGUUAUCUUCAGUUCUCUAUAUCCUAUCACUUCGGAGCAAUCUAUCCUCACCUCUGCUCGUGGGCAAUCAAAAACCACAAGAAAAUUCUGGACAAUGGUAGAUUUCAGUAUCUUUGUCUGACCUCAAGAAUCACCCCUAUAGCUAUUCUGGAACUGGAGUUACGCAAAUCACAAGAUGAUACAGAUGUGCUGUCAAGAACCUGGACCAGUCUCGGUUGCCUACUGUUUUAGAUAAAUUUAACUAUAGAAUUUGGAAAAAAAGUUCUAUAUCAAAGUUAUAGACAAUUUGAUAAGCUUUCCAACAGUGUAAACCCCAACUUUAUCGGAUUAAUGGAACAUGAGUUAUGACAUUUAGAAUUUGAUGCUUCUGCAUUGUUUCAAAGUCUGGACAGUUCUAGUUAGUUCCUAUUUGUCAGCCAAAUCAACUUCAGAAUCUAGGAAAGUGUUAUAUACAGAAGUUGUGGAGGACUCCCUAAUCUUUUCAACCAUGUAAGGCUCGUCCCCAUAUGAUUUUUGUAGCUCGAGAUAUGGCUGCUGCAAGUUACCACAACUGCGCUGACAAACUGUCUGGACAGAUAUCAUGCUUGGCUAUUUUACCCAAACUUAAUUUCAGAACCUGAGAAAGUAUUCUAUACGAAAGUCAUAGAGGAUUUUGUCAGAUUUCCCAUGGUGUAGGCCAGAAGUAUAUCAGAUUGAUGGAGUAUGAGUUACAACUGUUUUACUAAGCUGCGGAUUUUCAUCUCGUGUGGAAUUUUAGAUUUCUUGUACUUGUCAGUGCACAUGAGUUAGAAGAUCUCAUGAUAAGUGUUGAUGCAAAACUGAUCUGCAAACACAAAGGGCUAAUACCCGAUUCAAACGUUAAGGCGUGCCAGCCGAUUUGACCUUACUAUCGGCAAAGGUGAUAACUCGAAUACUUUAGUCCUGACAACAGCGAUGCGCCCGGAUGUCACGGCUAAGAGGUACUCACGCGGAACUCGAGAACACACCGAGCUUAAGUCGACGAAUUCCUAAGAACUCGUAAUAAAAAGAAAAAAAAGUAUGACGAAGUCGUCGAAAAGUAGAUGCUGGAAUAUGAGUAAAAACGUGUGUUUGAUUGAUUUCUUGAUUUGAUUACAAGGCCCUAGGGUCUAUAUUUAUACCCUGCUCAAAGAGCUACAACCAGACACGAUUAGAAUUCGAAUUCCAAAUUAUACGGAAUCCGUAUACAAAACGAUGCAAAUAAUUAAGGAAAUAACAAAACUAUCCCUCGUGACAAACCAAAACUCCUCCACAUAACGACCGGCAGCUUCCAGACUCCUCCUUUGCAUCAUCGGCAGAUCCUUUGCCAUAGUCAUCGGCAGACUUUCUUAUCUAGCCAUCGGCACCAUAUUACUGCCUGUCACAUUCAACUUCUCCCUCAUCGGCAACCAUCCUCAUCGGCAACCCGCAUCGUACUGCCACCUUAUCCUGCCAUCCUAGACACGUGUCCAAAAACGGUGUCAACACAUGCCCCCCAGUUUCGGAGUAUAAAACUAUUAAUGCUCCGAAAUUCUCUGCAGUAAUGAUGCCUUCUCCCGCAAUUAAUGCUCCUAAUCUGGUAACCGACAACCUCAAUCUGGACAACUCUGAUCCUAAUCCUCCGCAGAUUCCUCGAAAUCCCCAACUUCCUAAACGGGCAUUUUUCUUGGUCGUACAUCGGCAACAAUACCGUUACAAAGAUCUGCCGAUGCUCUGACAAGGAUAUUCGCAAAAACGGUUACCUCCCCUCUAUCCGCCCAUCGGCAAGAUGACCGUUAUAGAAUAUCGCCGAUGGACCGACCAGGAGAUCUCGCACAGUAAAAUAUCUUCAGAUAAUGACCGCUUCCCGUCAAAUCACCUGCACAAUCCCUGGAUUACUGUGCGAACAGUUACCAUAUCCACCUGAGUACCCUCGGGUUUCUCGGAUGCGGCAAAGAGAUAAGUCGGAUUUGCCCUUGCCCAUCUUGUCCUAUAAAUAGUUCCUUCUUGGGUACUCCUUCCCCAUCACACCAUUCUACUACCCAACUUUACUUUUCCAGCGGCGGCGCCAUUUACAACCUUCAAGACCUCCGACAAGCACUCCUCUUCAUCAACUCCGGUGCCCUCCAACGUCCUCUUCACGACAAGAUGGCCAUUGGCUUCGUCGUCCCUGAGGUCAGAUCUCCAUCUCAUCUUCUGUAUUUUUUUAUUCCUAUUCAUCCGCGAUUCAUCUUACUGAAUAUUCUCCUUUUCCUUUUUCUUUGUAUUUUUAUUCCCCCAAAAUCACUAGGAGUUGUCCAAUAAAAUUGUCAUCCCCACCGAUCAACCACACCUUCAAUGUCUCGGCCCUCUAGGGGAUUCAGAUCCAACCAACCUUAUCAACGCAGAAACCAAUAGGAUCCCCUUCAGAGCUGAAAACUUUUCUUUAGAUCUGUGGAAAGACUCUUUUCGCUCUUGGCCCAGCCCUACUGUAGGGUGGAAAGACUGGUUCUUGAGGGUCAGCAAUUCUUAUGAAGUCCAGUGGGGCGAAAGGAAGCUAGCCCAAUGCAUUAGGCUAUCCAUUGCCGAUAUGCACAGGAACGAGUCACUGCUGAUAGCUGCGUCCUACUUUUGGUCAGACACCCUCAAUGCUUUUGUUUUUGGCCACGGCCCUGCUUCUCCUACCCUUGCCGAUGUAGCCAUGCUCACUGGUCUAGAUAUAUCUUCUGCCGAUAGCACCCACUUUUUUGAUACUGCCCCCAGUGCCAAAGUGGAGACUCGCGCUAUCGGCGGUUGGUCAGGGUACAUUCAGAAGUACCGCGGGAGAGGGCCUGUCACCAUAAAGGAGCAAACCACCUUUCUGAACAUGUGGCUGGACAAGUUUGUAUUCUGUGGUCGAUCGGCAGGACCGACUUCUGUCUAUCUAUCGGCAGCAGAGAGACUGGCUAACGGUGGCCAAUUUCCUCUCGGCCGAUACUUGCUUGGCGCUGUUUACCACCUUCUCCAUCAGGUAUCCCAGAAACUCCUGCUUGGCCAAUCCAUCGGCAACUUGGGAGGCCCCUGGUGGUUUAUCAAUAUGUGGCUCAAUCUGCACCUGCAUAAGCGCCUUGAUUUCAACUUGUUCUCACAGCACUUCCCAAGAGAUAUAGCCGAAAAUCAUGUGUUGGGUGAAGAGGAAUCGGCAACGCGUGCCCCCUUGAACUUUGGCGAAGCCGUCAUAGUCCUACCUGGUUCAGGGAGUAAUCCGGAUCAGAUCGGCCGAUUCUUCGAGACUCUGUAUGAGGGUUUGGCCAGAGAUGAACGACCAUGGUUGGCUUAUGAUGACCCAGAUAGCAUGCUCCCUCUGACCUUCAAUCCAUUUGAUGAAGCUCUCGACAGGGAUAAUGAGGCGAUGAUGGCAAUUGUGACUCCCAGAGCCAUUCCAGUGAAUUUCUUCGGUAGCACAAAAACUUCUCCCCAGACUUAUGAAUUUUACAAUCCAUCGGCAUUAGCUCGCCAGUUAGCUUUCGGCCAGUUGCCAAUCGCACUUCCUUAUGCCGAUGUGAUAAAACCCAGAGAAACUAUCAAUAACUUUCUUGAGUGGAGUCGAGUAGCCCAACUACCACCAAACGCCGAUACAGAUGUAGAUCUAUCAGAAUGGGUUCCGGCUGCUUUUAUCACUCAGGCAUACAAGUUAUGGUGGGCAGAAUGGAAAGAGCAUCUAUUCUGCAGAUCGGCCCUUUCAUACCGCGGCAUGAUCGACUCCGAAUACGAAAUUCCCGAUGACACUGUAAGUAUCUCCAACCGAUGUUUCAUUUUUUCAACAUUAUUUCCAUCAGUAGCUUAUCCUUGUAUUCUUUUUGCAGGUUGAUAACAUCCCCUCAUCGGUUAGCAGGAGUGGCAAGCCGAUCGACUUAUUUCCAUCAGGCCCGAUUUCCUCAAUCGGCCACAAUGCUCCCACUCUGGCUUCCAUCGUGCAUCGGGGUGCACGCUUCAGGAAAGUUACGACCAGGAGAACCCAGACAUCACCAACGGUAGCUGCUCCCACUCUGGCGCGGGCUUUCAAGGCAAUUUGUCAAAUCUUUAUCUUUUAUGCUGACUAUCUUUAUAUCGGCUAUAUUUAUGCUUAUAAACUCUUGUUCAUUAUUGCAGCAAACCGGCGCAUCGGCGAAAGCUAGGUGUGAGAGUACCGAUGCCCCCCAGUCUAGCCAACCCAAGAGAAAGGGCACCACGGGUGCUAAGACUGGAACAAAGCGCCAGAAGAUAGCAACUCCCCCUCUUCCUCCGGUAUCUCCAAUUCCGGUGGAGUCUUCUCCUUCCUCUCCAGAAGCCCAGCCACAGCAAGCACCGUCUCCCCCAGCUAUGCAGGAAGCACCACAGAUAGAAGAACCCCAACAGGAAGGGUCUCAAUCAGCUGACACGGGUGAACAAACAACUGGCCCAGUGGGUCCAGUUAUACCAUCGGCAGUUCUCCCGAUUCAGACAACCGUCGUCCCUCCUCCAGGUAACAUACUUUAAUAAUAUCGCUACCGAUGAACUUAUUCUUAUUUAGUCUCACAACUCCUUUUGUCUUCUUUCAGUUGAUACUGUUCCAUCGGCAAUCUCAGCCGAUCAACCUGUAGCUCCAUCGGCAUCUUUGGCCGAUCAGCCUGCAGCUCCGUCAGCCCUUCUCAGUCAAAGACAAGAGAUCGCCUUGAAGCAAGUGAGUCACCGUUUACCGUUAGCACUAUUUGCCGAUUCUCUAAGUAUGAGCUAAUUUUGCUUUCCGUCCCAGGAACAAGAUUCUCCCGAUAGCCUGUUCUCCUUCGCCAUCGAUUUCUCUGAAGAAGAGGGUGAAGAAGCAAGCACUUCUCGGACGGUUGGCAUCACAUCGGCAGAUGUCAGGGUCAGGCUGGAAGAAUUAUCAGCUCUCCUUCACCAGGACACAGCGCAAUUGGUUGAUGAUUCCGACCCUACCAAGACCCUGUUCAGAACUCUCAGAGGCCAAAUCCCAGCCGAUGUCGAAGAAAUCCUGUUCCAAGCCGCUCAUCUGGAGAGUCGCCAGCUGCAGUACCAAAGAGCUUCUCGGCGGCUUGCCGAUAGAGCCGCUCAAACUCAACUCUCCGAUGAGAUGAGGAAAGAGAAGCUUUUGACCGAUGAGAAGCACAAGAACAUCGGUAUCCUGAGAUCUUCUGGAGACGCGCUGAAGCAGAAGAUAUCCGAUCUAUCGGCAAGAAAAGAGUCCCUGUUGGCAGAGCUCAAGGAAGUAGAGAACGCUCUGUCCCAAGCCCAACAGGAAGAGAGCCAAUUGCCAGAGACCAUCAGGCUUCUUGAGCGCGAACGAAAUGCUCAUGGUCGCAAAGCGCUCCAACUGAAGAAGAAGCUGAAGCCGAUAGAAGGUUCUGCCGAUGAUGACAUCAAGGAGAUAGAAGCAGCCAACCAAAUUCGGCUACGUGCUAUAUCGGCUAUCCAGACGCUGCUUAACACAUAGAGUUUCCAUCGGCAUUGUAUCUGCGCUUUCCUGCUUCCUCAGCUUUUAGUCUAGCCGAUAGGACUGUUAUCGGCGCCUAAACUUUUGAAACGCCAAGUCUUGUCCCCAAUCAUUUGGAUCCAGCCGAUAGGAGUGUUAUCGGCACCUAAACUUUUAUGCAUCGACCCAUAUACUGGGGUAAUACUUCUUUAAAUAUUUGCCGUUUAAUGCUCUGGGAAAUUCAAUUCCUUCGAGGGUUUCUAGAAUGUAGGCAUUACCGGGAGCCGAUCGACUUAUCCGAUAAGGACCCUCCCAAUUAGGAGACCACUUCCCAAACUUCGAGCUUUUGGUCCCAACUGGUAAAAUUAAUUUCCAUACCAAAUCUCCAUCGGCAAACUCUUUAGCCUUCACUUUCUUAUCAUACCAUCUAGCAACUCUUUUCUUAUUUUCUUCUAUACUCGUUAAAGCUUUUAACCGAUGCCCUGCUAGAUCAUCCAAUUCAUCGGUCAUCAAAGUGGCAUAAUUGUCGAAAGUUAAUUGAUCUUGAAAAGAUAAUCGCCUAGAUCCAGCCUUAAUUUCCCAAGGCAACACUGCAUCAUGUCCAUACACCAAUUGAUAGGGUGAUACCUUGGUCGAUCCAUGACAAGCCAUCCGAUAAGACCACAAUGCUUCAUUUAAUAAUGUAUGCCACCGCUUAGGAUUUUCUUCAAUCUUUCGUUUAAUAAGCUUGAUAAUUCCUUUGUUAGACGCUUCGGCCUGCCCAUUGGCUUGAGCAUAAUAAGGAGAAGAAUUCAACACUUUAAUUCCCAUACCGAUUGCGAAUUCAUCGAACUCCCCCGACGUGAACAUGGUGCCCUGAUCGGUAGUAAUCGUUUGGGGAAUCCCAAAUCGGUAAAUAAUAUGCUCCUUCACAAAAUCAAUCAUAUUGGCCGAUGUGACUUUCUUCAAAGGAAUAGCUUCAACCCACUUAGUGAAAUAGUCAGUGGCAACUAGAAUGAACUUAUGCCCUUUGCUAGAUGGUGGAUAAAUCUGGCCGAUCAGAUCGAUGGCCCAUCCCCGGAACGGCCAAGGUUUUAUUAUAGGAUUCAUAGCCGAUGCGGGUGCUCUCUGGAUAUUACCAAACUUUUGACAACCUUGACAUCCCUUGAAAUAUUUAAAACAAUCUUCAAGUAUGGUUGGCCAAAAAUAUCCAUUCCUCCGAAUCAUCCACUUCAUCUUAAAAGCUGACUGAUGCGCUCCACAUACUCCUUCAUGGAUUUCCCCCAUCAAACUUCUGGCUUCAUCAUCACCCAAGCAUCGGAGAAGAAUUCCGUCGAUAGUUCGAUAAUACAAUUCAUUUUCAAGGAGCACAUACUUGGUUGCUUGAAAUCGAACCCGUCUUUCAACUUUUUUGGAUGGAUCUUUUAGAUAAUCAAUAAUUUCUUUCCUCCAAUCACCGGCACCGACUGCCGAUGUCGCAUUAAUCAUUGGCUGAUAUCCCGAGGCAUGCUGAGCUAACCGAUUAGCGUCUUCAUUAUGCAAUCGGGGAACAUGCUCCAAUCGGAAAUCCUUGAAUUCCUUUAACAGUUGCAUACUUCUCUCGAAAUAAGUUAUGAGAACUUCACUUCGGCAUUCAUAGCUUCCGGCCAAUUGAUUUAUAACCAACAUAGAAUCCCCGAAUAUUUCAACAGCAUCAGCACGAACUUCUCUUAACAACUCCAAUCCCUUGAUCAGAGCUUGAUACUCAGCCUGAUUAUUUGUUGAUGUGGCAACAAUCGGCAAGGAAAACUCAUACUUCCUCCCCUUAGGGGAAACCAAUACAAUGCCGAUUCCUGCCCCCCGGUCACAGGUAGAUCCAUCAAAGAAGAGCGUCCAGGGUACAAUUUCCAAGGUUUCCACCAGACCGCAAUGCUGAGUCACAAAAUCGGACAUAAUCUGCCCUUUGACCGCCUUAGCCGAUUCGUAACGCAAAUCGAACUCCGACAGCGCUAAAAUCCAUUUACCGAUCCUACCACUCAUAAUCGGCAUAGAUAGCAUGUAUCGGACCACGUCAUCUUUGCAAACAACAGUGCAUUCGGCCGAUAACAGGUAGUGUCUCAGCUUGAUACAUGAAAAAUAUAAGCAUAAGCAUAGUUUCUCAAUGGCCAAAUACCUGGUUUCAGCAUCAAUCAACCUCCUACUCAAAUAAUAAAUUACCCUUUCUUUCCCUUCAAAUUCUUGAACUAAAGCUGAACCGAUAACCGAUCCAUCGGUAGAUAAAUACAAUCUGAAGGGCUUCCCUUGUUGAGGUGGAACUAGAACUGGAGGAUUUACUAGAUACUUCUUGAUUUCAUCCAGAGCAAACUGCUGUUCUUCUCCCCAAAUAAACUCUUGAUCGGCUUUCAAUUUAAGAAGAGGACUGAAAGCACGAAUCCUACCAGACAAAUUCGAUAUAAAUCUCCUGAUAAAAUUUACCUUGCCGAUCAAGGAUUGGAGCUCGGUUUUGUUGGUAGGGGCCACUAUUUUAUUGAUGGCAUCAAUAGAUAUUCGACUAAUUUCAAUACCCCUCUGAUGUACCAUGAAACCAAGAAACUGCCCUGCCGAUACGCCAAAUGCGCACUUGUUGGGAUUCAUCUUCAAUCCAUGCUUCCUUGUGCACUCUAACACUUUUUGUAAAUCGGCAAGAUGCUUUGAGAAAUCUCCAGACUUAACCACCACAUCAUCAAUAUAAAUCUCUACAAGCUUGCCGAUGAACUCAUGAAAUAUAAAAUUCAUAGCCCUUUGGUAAGUAGCACCAGCAUUCUUCAACCCAAAAGUCAUGACUAUCCAUUCAAAUAGUCCAACAUGACCAGGACACCUGAAUGCGGUUUUUGGAAUAUCCUCCUCUGCCAUGAAUAUUUGAUUGUAACCUGCAUUACCAUCCAUGAAGCUGAUGACCCGAUGGCCAGCCGCAGCAUCAACCAGUAGAUCGGCGACAGGCAUUGGGUAUCCAUCCAUCGGCGUAGCUUUAUUGAGAUUCCUGAAAUCAAUGCACACCCGAAGCUUCCCGUUCUUCUUGUAAACCGGAACAACAUUGGAAAUCCAUUCGGCGUACCGACACUGCCGAAUAAACUUAGCUUCAAUAAGUUUAGUGAUUUCGGCCUUAAUAUCAGGUAGGAUGUUAGGAUUACAUCGGCGAGCUGGUUGCUGAUGUGGCCGAAAUCCAGACUUGAUGGGUAACCGAUGUUCAACAAUUGAUCGGUCUAAACCAGGCAUCUCUGUAUAAUCCCAAGCAAAGCAAUCUUUAUAUUCCUUUAACAAACUAGUCAAUUGUCGCUUACACUCAGGAUCUAAUUUAGCACUAAUAAAAGUAGGCCUAGGCUUAUCACCACUACCUAUAUCUACUUCAACCAAAUCAUCGGCCGAUGUGAAUCCCUGGCCUAAUUUUCCAUCAUCGGCGAAUCUAUCCAUUAAAAACCGUCGUCAGAACCGACUGCUUGGAUCGGUGGAAUCUCAUAAUCGGCAACUUUGAGAAAAUCUUUCUCCCAAACUUCUCCUGAAAUGCACCUGGUCCUUUCGUAAGUAUCCGCUUCUGCCGAUGCGAUAACAUAAGAAGAAUCUCCUGGGACAAUCUCAAUCUUGUCACCUACCCACUGAACCAAGCACUGAUGCAUUGUAGAUGGGAUACAACAAUUGGCAUGAAUCCAAUCUCUCCCCAAUAAUAAGUUGUAAGCACCUUUUCCACUGAUCACGAAAAAAGUUGUCGGCAAGGUUUUGCUGCCGAUGGUCAACUCUGCACAUACUGCCCCCUUGACUGGAGACACGUUUCCUUCAAAGUCUUUGAGCAUCAUAUCGGUCUUGGUCAAAUCUUGAUCCCCUUUCCCAAGCUUCCGAUAUACUGCAUACGGCAUAAUAUUAAUAGCAGCUCCACCAUCAACUAGGAUCUUGGUCAUUGGCUGCCCAUCAACCCUUCCUUUGAGGAACAGAGCUUUAAGAUGCUGCCUCUCGUCAUCGGCAGGUUUCUUAAAGAUAGCCGUCAUCGGAUCCAGAGCCAACUGAGCUAUCUGAUCAGAAAAUUCUAACUCAUCAUCACUGGCUGGUGCAAGAAACUCCACCGGCAACAUGAAGACCAUGUUGACGCCUGCCGAUGGACCUUCCCUCUUAGUGUCUGACGGCUGCCGACUUCCAGAGUUCUCUCCCUUGUUUAGCUCUUCUUGCCUUUCACGUUGCAAUCUCCUUUUCUGUGUCUUGGUUAAUCCUCCAGGGCACCAUGGAGGAAGUGGCCUUUGCCUUGCCGUCGGGCGUCGGUUCUCCCUUGACUCCAUACGAUGCGUGUUAGCAUCCCUGCAAAAUAUGAAUUCAUCGGGAACCCGCGCAUCAGCCAUUCCCUCGAGCUCUUCUUGGUUCCUGGGAAAAUACUGGACACGGUCACUAAGUCUGUUGUGCCCACCAAAUCUGCCCCCCAGCCGGUCAUGAACUGACACCCUUCCUCUGAUCGGCCCAUUGAAUCGCCGUUCAUCAUUAUGAUAAUGCCGAUCGAUCCUAUCGUACCGAUCAUAACCGUUGCACUCAGGGCAGUCUCUGAUAGUAGGAAGCUUGAUAUUUUCCUCCCAACAAUGGAUGAAGAAUGGACAAUUCCAAUGAUCCCUGUGCCGAUUCCACUCCUGUCGGCGUCUUUCUUCUUCCCGUCGAUAAUCUUCCUGCUGGCGUCGAUACCGAUCUUCCCGUUGUUGCCAUUUUUCUCGAGGCCUUCUAUGAGUUAUGACGAUACCAGAUCGAGGAAGCCUUCCUGAGCUAGUUCCUUCCUGGACCAAGCCCUUACUUCUUGCAUCAGCAGUAGUAACUUGAUGCUGAGGAUCUACCGAUGCACUCUUCUCAGCUGUCUCCGAUGUUAAGACCUUAGCCUUCCCCUUAGCAUCCAACAUGUUUGUCGGGAAAGGAUGUUGGUCUAUCUUCAUCGGCUUCUGGGCUUUGGAACUGUCAAACUUGAUUCUCCCUGACUCUAUAGCCGAUUGCAGCUGCUGUCUGAAUACUUUGCACUCGUUGGUGUCAUGGGAAGUUGCAUUAUGCCACUUGCAAUAUCUCAUCCUCUUCAACUCUUCUGCCGAUGGGAUCACAUGGUUAGGUGACAGUUUGAUCUGACCUUCCUGAAGUAGAAAGUCAAAUAUCCUAUCAGCCUUAGCGGUGUCAAAGGCAAACUUCUCUGGUUCCUUCUGCCCAAAAGGACAAGACAUCGGCUUCUUGUUUUUUACCCACUCUGCCAAACCGAUUACUGGUUCUUCAUCAGAAUCUGAGCUUGUUGCUUCAUCAACAAAUGACACUUUCUUAUUCCAUGCUCUCUUAGGCUCGAAAGGCUUGAUGUCUUGAUCAGAAAUCCUCUGCACCAAAUGACUUAAACUUUCGAACUCCUGAGAGGCAUACUUAUCCCUGAUAUGUGGCAACAAACCCUGGAAAGCCAAAUCGGCUAACUGCCGAUCAUCCAGAACCAGGCUAUAGCAUUUAUUCUUGACCUCUCGUAUCCUCUACACAAAUCCCUCAACCGACUCAUCAUUACGUUGCCUCAAUUUGACCAAGUCGGUGAUCUUCUUCUCAUGAACCCCCGAGAAGAAGUAUUUGUGGAAUUGCUUCUCUAGAUCGGCCCAAGUAAUUACUGAGUUGGGAGGUAAUGAUAUGAACCAAGUAAAGGCCGAUCCAGACAAUGAUGAUGAAAAUAGACGAACCCUCAAUUCGUCCCUGUUACCAGCCUCUCCACAUUGAAUAAUGAACCUGUUGACAUGCUCCAUGGUUGACGUGUCGUCCUGUCCGGAAAACUUUGUAAAAUCCGGUACCUUGUACCGAUGUGGAAGCGGGAUCAAAUCAUACGCGGGAGGAUACGGUGUCCGAUAAGAAUAAGUGUUGACUUUGGGUUUUAUCCCAAAUUGUUCCCUCAUUACUUCAGCAAUCUUAUCGGCCCAAUACGCAUCGGCAUCUUGCCGAUGAGGUGGCUGCGGAUCUGGCACUUGGUGGUGAACCUCCAUGUGUCUGUUCGGGACGUGAUCUGCACGGAACAUUGUAUUGAUCACCUGUCCUCCAAUCUGCGGACCACCAAACUGCUGUCCACCGAUUGGCUGUCCUCUGAGUUGUUGUCCAAAAUUCAUUGGCUGGUUGGGAAUCCCCUGACCUUGGAACCCGGGAUAGACCUGCCCUUGCUGGAACCCUGUAGUCUGGUAACUCUGCUGGGGCGAUUGUGGAAAGGCUUGCUGUCCAAGCCAUCCAUUAUUAGCGUUCAUCGGCAUAGGUGCUGCCGAUGAUUGGUAAUUGGGUACCGUCAUUGAAUUGACAUACCCAGACUGGGCCAUAGGCCUCUGCGGCACCAGCAUUGACUCUGCCGAUGCGUUGGGCAUCUGGAACAUUGAAUCUUGAGGAUUUCCAGUGUGAGGCCUUGCAGUAGUAGUUGUGGUAUACCGAGGACUCUGGUUCACCGGCGCAUUGGGAGGUGCCGAUGUCAUAGGAGUUUUGCCCCUCAUGUCAGUUAUUUGUGAUGUUCCCGGCGUCAACUCUGGAGGCAUACCAUAACCCCACCAGUUGGGAGGAAGAGUCAACCCUGACAUUGCCGAUGCCAACAUAUCUGUUGUCAGUCUAUGCUGCCCAACUGAAAUUUGUGGGUUGGUUGCCAUCGGCAUAGAUAGUGCACCAGUAGUCCCCAAUGUACUUGGAGGGACGGCAGACUGUGCACUUGCAUUCGUCAAGGCAGCCGAUGGAGCCGUGACCUCUGGUGCCGUUGGCUGAUGAUGGGAGGGGCCCACAUAAUCUGGUGGGAUUUGUCCUUCCUUGAAAGUUCUUGCCACGGCAUUGAAAACCGUAUUGGACAAUACACCAGCUUGGUUAAUCAACGCUCGAUUGAUGGCAUUGUCAACCAUAUCUUGAAGCUUGCCAGGAUUGGCGUCAAAGGUAACCUGCCGUGGUGCCGGCAGUGCAUCUUUCUGGACCACUUCACCACUCCUGUUUAUGCUGAAAGACCUCAGGCAUUGCUGCUUGAACUCUUCCAUGGCUUGGGCAAUAGCUUGCUUCUGCUCAUCCUUGAGGUUGGCCUCCGUCACGGGGAUGACAUUCUCUUGAUCGAGGUCAGAGAUCGACAUGUUGAUCUUGAUCUUGAAUCGGUCCCACCGAGCGUGCCAAAAGAUGUGUUGAUGCAAAACUGAUCUGCAAACACAAAGGGCUAAUACCCGAUUCAAACGUUAAGGCGUGCCAGCCGAUUUGACCUUACUAUCGGCAAAGGUGAUAACUCGAAUACUUUAGUCCUGACAACAGCGAUGCGCCCGGAUGUCACGGCUAAGAGGUACUCACGCGGAACUCGAGAACACGCCGAGCUUAAGUCGACGAAUUCCUAAGAACUCGUAAUAAAAAGAAAAAAAAGUAUGACGAAGUCGUCGAAAAGUAGAUGCUGGAAUAUGAGUAAAAACGUGUGUUUGAUUGAUUUCUUGAUUUGAUUACAAGGCCCUAGGGUCUAUAUUUAUACCCUGCUCAAAGAGCUACAACCAGACACGAUUAGAAUUCGAAUUCCAAAUUAUACGGAAUCCGUAUACAAAACGAUGCAAAUAAUUAAGGAAAUAACAAAACUAUCCCUCGUGACAAACCAAAACUCCUCCACAUAACGACCGGCAGCUUCCAGACUCCUCCUUUGCAUCAUCGGCAGAUCCUUUGCCAUAGUCAUCGGCAGACUUUCUUAUCUAGCCAUCGGCACCAUAUUACUGCCUGUCACAUUCAACUUCUCCCUCAUCGGCAACCAUCCUCAUCGGCAACCCGCAUCGUACUGCCACCUUAUCCUGCCAUCCUAGACACGUGUCCAAAAACGGUGUCAACAAUAAGAUAACUCACUUGGAAGAUAGACCAAGCUACCCAUUUGUGCCCCCUAGUUUACUCUUCUUAAGGGGGGUAGCCAAGCUAACGAAGUCACAAGAUGAAUGUUUCAUACGUUCUAGCACUUCACUUGGAAGUGUCGAUCAUUCCUAUGGCUGAGAAGUCACUAUCAAGUAUCCUUGCUAAGAAGUUCUUAACAUGUUGGUUCCAUCUACAAGGAUAUUGUAUAUUCAUCAAGAUUUAAUCUUAAUUCGAUCUAUCAUCAAAUGGGAGAGUCCAAUCUUUAGCAUACCAAAGGCGAGAUGACAUUGACGACAUAGGAAGUGGAUAUGGUACAGCUAUUGUUGAUUCUACGGAGACUCAAAAGACUUCAUUGUUAAACAAAGCAUGGCAAGUAAGUUUUGGUUGAUGGAAGUUCUCACCUAGGAGGCUAGGAGGUGUCAUCCUUAUGGUGAACACGAGAAAGUCAAGGCUGCAUUGGGUUUGGAACCCACCAAAAGGAAGUGAAUAAGACGUAGAGUUCCAUGGGAAUGACAAGAAGCUAUCAUAGGUUUAUUGGAGGCAUUGUAAUCUUGACAUAAGAGUGACUAAGAGAUUGAUUUGGAAUAAUAAGAUUAUAAGUGGUUUAUCAAAGGUGUUAUACAGAUCGAUGUAAGAGUUCUUAUAUAUCCCAUCAAGACUUUGGAUGUGCUCUAUACGAGAAAAGUAGUGGCUUAUGCAUAAGUUGACUAAGUGAGUUGGACCACCUAACACAUGAUGUGGAGGUAUCCAUAGUGGAGCAUGGAGAUACUAUCUUCUUGGAUAUAAGAGUGAUAUCUACGUAGAAUGUAAGAGACUAAAGGGCAUCUUUAGGAAGUUGGAUUUGAGCUAGUCACAUCAUUGAUGGAUUUGAGUGAAUCAAGAGUUAUGGCUGGAAAAAAAUGCUAUCACUUGAAGGAGAAAAGGCCUUUGCGAAUGCUCAGAGCAUAAAGAGUGUGCUAGAGGAGUUCAAAUGACACUGAAAUUUGAAGGGUUGAGUGUUGAACUGGGUGAUGUCACUAGUACUGUCAAAGGAGCUCUACUAAUUACUCAUUUGGGAACCAUAGGAACUGAAAAGAUUACUUAGAAGAUAUGUUGUGAGCUUGUGCAUUAUAGUAUCGUACAAGUUGGGAUAAGAGUUUACCGAAUGCGGAGUUUUCUUAGGACAAUAGAUUAUUAUAAGAGCCUUCGAAUGGUAUGUCUUUAAGCUUUGUAUGGACGGAAGUGUAGAACCCCAUUGUUUUGAAAUCAAAUAGGUAAAACACAAGUGUUUGGGCCAGAUGUUCUAAGAGAUGCAGAACAACAAGUGAGAGUGUUCAGGGAUAACUUAAGGGUGGCACAGUCUCAACAGAAGAGAUAUGCUAACAACCGGAGAAAAGAAUAAGCUUUUGAAGUAGAAGACUAUAUGUAUUUGAAGGUGUCACCUAUGAGAAGUGUGAGAAGAUUUAAUAUGAAGGAAUGGUUAGCACCAAGGUAUAUCGGGCCUUUCAAAGUGUUAGAAAGAUGGGGUGAAGUGGCUAAUUAGAGCAUCUGAAAGUUUGGGCGAGGAAUGCAUGAUGUUUUCCUUGUGUCUUAACUCAAGAAGUGUUUGCGUGUGCCAUAGGAGCAGAACCCAUUAGAGGAAUUGGCUGUUAAAGAGGAUCCCACAUACAAAGAGUACCUAGUAAGAAUUUUGGAAACAACAGAAAAGGUUACCAGAAGUUGCAUUAUCAGGAUGUGCAAAGUUCAGUGGAACCGGUACACCGUAGAGGAGGCUAUUUGGAAAAGAGAAGAAUAUUCAAUGUUAAGAGUAUCCACAUUUUUUUGGUAACCAUCUUCCGAAUCUCGAGGACGAGAUUCAUCUUAAGGGGCGUAGAAUUGUAACACCCUAAAUUUUGCUUCUUUGAAAAUAGAGAUAAAAUAAUUUAUUUUGUAUUUUUGUGCUCAUAAAAAUAUAGUAAAAUGAAAUUUUUCCUUAAAUUAAAAUUCAUCAUAGGGUUUAGCAACGUUGUUGUGCAUACAUGCCGGUACAUAUGUUUUAUGUGAUGUUUGUUUGUUGCUCCUUUGUGUGUUGAGACUAAGCAAAGUUUUUAAAAUUGCGUUAAGUAGAACGAUCUUCCUUGGUCAGUACAUCUUUACCUUUAUCUACAACCAAAUCCCUUGUUUCUAAGCUCAAGUUUUUAUUACGAGCUUUCUAAAAUCUUUUCUUUAUCACCUAAAUCCCUUCUUUUAGUUUCUCAUUCAUCAAGCAGUCUCUACAACGUGAUCGCCCUCAGUCCGGUGUCGAUCCGUCCGUCGCCCUGCUUUCCAUCUCCGCUUCGUACCUAUCUGCGAAAUCUCUAUUGGUGAGUUUGUUUUCCCCGCAUCAAAUCGUGGCCGUAGGCUUAAGUUUCAUGCUCGCCGGCUAGGAGCUCGCUGCUGCCAAUGGCUGGCUUCCAGGCGUGUGCUCUGCUCCAAUUAGUUUACCUUGGUUUCUAAAUCAAAAUACGUUUUUAGUAAUUACAAAAUUGCCACCAGAUUUGUUUAGCUCAUAAAAUCUUCAUUUUAACUCCGAUUUGAUCCAUUCAAAUUGCGUUAGAUUCGUAAUCACAAGAUCUACAUCUUAGUCUCACUGUUUUACAAGUUUACAACUUUUUAUUUUCGUGAACCUAUUUAAUUAAUUAUUUUAUUAAAGGAAAUCUUAGAAAAUUCAUAUCUUUUUUGUUAUAUCUCCGAUUUUCGUGAUCUUUAUGUCUAUGUGAUCGUAGUGCAACGUAGAUUCAUUUUAUAAAAUUUUCAUCUUUAUUUUCUACUGUUGGUGUAUUGUUCUAAUUAUAGGUUUGUUUGCUUUGUAUGAUUGCCUCUGGAUGAUUGUUGUUGAUGUGGUGACUGAGUUUAGACGGUGAGCUUUUACGUGGUGAUCAAGAAGCAGUUUAUGGAAGGUUUGGAACUAAAAGAAGGAUCUGAGUUUUAAGGCAAGUAUAGCAUGGGAUCAUCCUCCAAUUCAUAUUGCAUGUGUCUCUUUGCUAAGGAUUUCCUAGUAUUGAUCUUAUACCUUGUCACCUAUGGUUUUGCAUUGGGUAGCUUAUGCUAGUGCUCUACUAAACCAUGACAUUGUAAUUUGAUUAAUGGAAUAUGCAAUAAACAUUAAAAGAGGACUUUUUAGCAACUUUGGUAAAGAGGGCUGGAAUAUUGGGCUAUCUUAUGGUGCUCUAGUUUCUCUCCAUAAGGACUUAUCUGUAUCUGACCAUCCGGGACAUACAGUACAACUGUGAGGGCUAGAUGGCUCUGGCUUUAGCUCAGUAUGAGGACCUUUUCUAGCUUGUUAGUGGUUACCCAUGUGGCGCAAAUGGGGAAUAGCAGACCGUGGAUUCCUGCGGGUGAAUCACAUGGACUGACUAAUGAAACCAAGCGGCCCUAACUUGUUAGACGAACCUUUGAAAGGCUUCAUAGUGAACCCUGCCGGCCUCCCUAGGAAGGGGGUUAGGAGAUUAGCUACCUCGGGCGAAAGGGUAAAUCACGACUCACAGUGAAAGUGUACAACCUCUGCAGAGUGUAAAACUGAUAUAUCAGCCGUGCUCACGGUCACUAGCGGCCUUGGACCAAUACAGAAUAAAUGAUCACUAAUGGCAAAUUAUUAAAGUUAUUGUUGUUAAUAUGUUGUUUAUGCUAUUCUUUAUUCAUUUUACCUGAUCAUGAGUUUACUAUAGGACUUGACAACUUGAUGCUACUCAUAUGCUAAAAUUGUGACAACUAAAAGCUACAUGCAGUUCAACCAGUGUCUAGCCUUUGAGCCUCAUGAACCCUAUGCUAUUCUUGCUGAGUACGAGAUGUACUUACGCUUGCCUUUACAUUUUAUUUGGAUAAAAAUCCCGGAUGGGUACCAGAUUGCUAGUUUGGAGAAGAGUUUAGGCUUGUGCUCAACCAGUCAGUUGUCUCUGUGGAUUUGGAGCUUUCGCCUGAAGAACGGAGUGUCUUUCCGCUGUUUGCUAUCUAAGGUUAUUUCUUUUAUACUAAGUUCGUUAUAUAUAAGCAUUGUUUAUUGAUAUUACCCCUAUUUGUGGCUAUAUGUGAGAUUUGACUUCCUGGGCUCACAUAUGGUGUGUAUCUGGUUUUGUCCUUAAAACCGGGUGCUACACCCAUUUUCGUCGGAUUUCCAGAGUCGCACAACCGUCAAGUCUCAAGCCCUGGUCGACUUCAUCAUAGAAUGGACGGAUCUCAAUGCACCACCCUCUCCAGAUGUCUUCGAUCACUGGUCAAUGUUCUUCGAUGGGUCCUUAAACAUCAAUGGCGCUGGUGCCAGAAUCCUUUUCAUUUCACCAAACAAGGACAAACUACGCUACGUCCUUAGGAUCCUCUUCCCGACAUCCAAAAAUGUCACCAAGUACGAAGCAUGCCUGCACGGCAUCCGAUUGGUCGUCGAACUAGGAGUCAAGCGCCUUUAUGUCUACGGUGACUCUGCUCUAGUCAUCAACCUGUUAAAUAAGGAGUGGGACAUGACCCAUGAGAAAAUGGACCUGUACUGCAAAGAAAUCCGAAGGUGGGAAUCAAAAUUUUAUGGCAUAGAAUACAUCCACGUGGUCCGGGACAAGAAUCAAGCAGCAGAUGCGCUGUCAAAGGUAGGAUCAUCCUAGGCCCAGAUUCCGCAAGGUGUUUUUGUUCAGGACAUUCACACACCAAGCGUUGGAAGACCUGGUCGACAAGCCACCCAACGAGAUGCUGCUCGUAGGAAACACCGCUCCGACAACAAAUGGCAAUGACUGGCGCGCUCCUUUCGUUAAGUACCUCUCGGACGGUUCGGGAUUUCAAGACAAAACGGAGAACGAACGUCUUAUCCGACGAGCCAAAAACUAUAUACUGGUCGACGGUAAACUUAUGCACAAGAAUGCAAGCUCAGAAGUCUUGUUGAAAUGCAUAACUCAAGACGAUGACAUCAAGCUACUAGAUGACAUACACGCUGGGUCCUAUGGCAAUCACGCUGCUUCUAGAACACUGGUCGGAAAGGCUUUCCGAGCAGGUUUUUACUGGCCAACCGCAGUCGCCGAUGCUGAGAAGCUGGUCCGGCAUUGAGAAGGGUGCCAGUUCUUCGCCAAAAGGAUCCACAUACCUGCUCAUGAGAUCCAGACCAUUCCGUCGUCUUGGCCGUUCGCCUGUUGGGGCCUCGACAUGAUUGAGCUAUUCAAACAAACCCCCGGUAAUUUCAAAUUCGUUUUCGUGCUAAUUGAUAAGUUCUCCAAGUGGAUCGAGUACAUGCCACUGGUCAAAGCAACUUCCGAGAAGGCGGUAGAAUUCCUCAAUCAAAUCAUACACAGAUUCGGGAUUCCCAAUAGCAUAAUCACUGACCUGGGUACUCAGUUCACCAGCACUACAUUCUGGGACUUCUGUGAUGACAGAGGCAUAGUCAUAAAAUACGUGUCGAUAGCCCAUCCUCGGGCCAAUGGUCAAGUUGAGCGAGCCAAUGGAAUGAUUAUCGAUGCACUAAAAAAGAGGAUGUACACGGAAAUCGACAGGGCGCCGGGGCGAUGGAUGAAAGAAUUACUGGCAGUGGUCUGGGGUCUCCGAACACAACCCAGUCGGAACACGGAUGUAUCCCCCUAUUUCAUGGUUUAUGGGGCUGAGGCAGUACUCCCCUCCGACGUAGCCUUCGGAUCCCCAAGAGUCGAGCAUUUCGAUCAGUCUUCAGUAGACCACGUCAGGGAACUUGAAAUCAACUGCGCAGAAGAGAGACGUUUGGUUUCUUGCCUUCGAACAACAAAGUAUCUCGAGGCCAUAAGAUGAUACCACAACAAGAACGUCAAAGAUUGCUCCUUCGUGGUCGGUGAUCUGGUACUCAAAUGGAAAACAAGCCAGGAGGGAAUGCACAAGUUAUCUACACCCUGGGAGGGACCUUUUGUGGUCGCCGAAGUUACACGUGCUACAUCUUAUAGGCUGGCGUACCUAGAUGGAACAAGCCUGCCCAACUCCUGGCACAUAGACAAAUUACGAUGUUUCUACCCCUAAGUUUCAGUAUAUCUUACUUGUACCUCUUUUUUGAUGAAUAAUAAUAAAGUUUGUCUUUUUUGGUAUAUAUUUUUACAUAUGCAGAAUACUCGACAAGUGCGACAAUAACUUUCCUUGACAAGCUACUCAAGGGUACUCAACAUGAUUCAGUGAUACAUCACUCAAGCAAAUUUAUUUACAGCGCUCAAAACCAUGGUUCUUAAAUUUCAAACUUUAUUACAAACUUUACAAACAAAGUUUACAGUAAACACCCCUCUGGGCGGUCUCUAGUCUAUCUCUACAGACUACUCUACGAACCUACUGCUCGGGUUGCUCGCCCGCACGGGUCUCUUGCGCCGUCGAAGGGGUCGGGGCCACCGGCGCCUGGCUGGUCGAGACUGCAGGCGUCGACCGCCCAUCUCCCGCAAUCGAUGCUCCCAACAACUCCCUAGCCGACUUAUCUGACCCUGGCUGUUCAGGGGGAGUGGAUGUCCCACAAAGGUUUAUGUCGCCGAUCAUAGUCGACGACAGGUCGAGUAGGCCGACGCGAAGGUCAUCCGCCUCCUUCGGACCGACCUCCUUGGGAUACCCCCUUUCCAGCCGGGACAGGUCGACCAGGGGAUAGUGGGUGUUGACGGUCCUUAAGUAUCAAAUUUAAUUAUCAAAUAAACAAAGAAAAGGGUCCAAAUGAAAUCAACAUCUAGACUUAGGGUUUUAUCUGACAGAAUUCCAUGAGUUUUGGUGUUUGUCUAUUUCUACAGGGGGUUAUCAGGAAAUACGGAAGAAAGGCCCACACGUCGGGAUUACAUAGAGAUAUUAACGUACCGCGCAAUUAUCUUACAUCUAGAAGACUCCAGAAGCCACGAGACCGAAGCGGAGACGAAACGGGGCCAGAGGCAGGGCGCCCGCCCUGUUCCCCUGGGCGCCCGCCCCCUCCCUGAGUCCAAUCAGGACUCUGCUUCGUGGGAGAUCUCCACCGACCUAAAGGAUGAAUCUAAACCAUACAAUCUAUGUCGGUUUGAUCCAACGGCCCAUAUUAACUUGAAGGGAUUAUAAAACCAGACCCCCUGGCCCCUAGAGGAGAGAGCCUCUCAACCCUAAUUCAUUAUUUCUCAAGGGAGAAGAAGCCUCUGAUCAAGAUUAGAGCCACCACAUCAAUUAGAUAUCUAGAUUAGCAUAGCUACAUAGGAUUAGAACUAGAAGGAGUCAAUCUUCGAUUGGUUUCCGGAUCUGUCAAGAGGAUUCUUGGUAAUUCUCUAAUUGUGCUUCUAAUUGUUCUUCUAAUUAUCUUUGUUCUUCAAUAUUAUGAAUAUGACUUUGUUCUACUUCAAUAUAUUGCUUAUGACUUGGCUCUACUUGCUUAUAUUCAAGAUUAUAUUGUUCUUAGUUUAUCAUAGUUAUGUACUUGGCUUAGUUAGAUUGGAUCUAUAUACAUGCUUAGGAUCGUAUAGCGUUUAUCCAUCGGAUCCAUGGGUAAAUGAUAGAUAUUGUGUAGGCGUGGUGCUUAUACCGUAUUUAUCUGCGAUUGUACCCAAUAUGCCAGAUCGUGGGGUAGUUCGUGAUAGUGACAGCUUCAUUGAUUCUUAUAUAGUCCCCCUCUCGUGUAUUGGGCUGGCAGAGCAACAUUAUUACACGGGAGUGAUUGCUAUGUUUCUCAUUUACCUUGCUAAUAUCACUAUGCAUGGGCGUAGUCUUGUCUCACAAUGAUUGCUAGGUAUGCUUGCACUAACUAUGAUAAUGCUAGACUAUAUAGUUUAGAAUAACUUAGGGAAUAUUCUUGUAGUUCGUUCUAAUUCCAUGCUAAUGACUUUCUAGAGUAUCUAAUUGAGGUGCUUAUCAUAUUUAUUAUGUGGCUAGAUCAGAUUAAUUAUCCUUGUCACUAUUUAUUAUUUCAUAUAUCCUUUAUGUGACACUUAUCCCUGUAUGAAGAGUUAGAUAAAUGUUCUCAAUUAUACAUGCAAUGAUAGAUACUCAAUCUCAUAUUCUAUUCUGUAAUCAAUGUUGAUGAUUGCUAAUCCCUUCCUAGUGGUAAAAAUAUAAAUAACGAUACCUGGAAUACUUCCCGGUUAAAAUGCUGCAUCGGUAUUAAUCUGUGCGCUUGCAGAUCCCAUUCAUUAUUUAUUUAGAAGAGCAAUUGCAUAUUUCAAUACCGCGUCUCUCAUGUCAUGCUGGGGAUGACAACUUGGCCUAAGUGGUGUGAGGGAUAGGUUUGGAAUUUUUGGCACCGUUACUAGAUUUAGAGAACUUAGUCUACUUUUGGUAAUGAUGUUAAGAAUACCCAACAGUGGGCACGAACCAUGCUAAGGACAUGCGCCCCAGCAAACUCCCUGACAUCCUUGACAAACUGCUGAAGCCAGCCCCACGCCUGCUGCGCCUUCUCGACUGGGGUCAGCCUCGGUGCGUGGGGCUGGUCCUCGAGAAGCUCGGGGCCGAUCAGAUCCAGCACCAGAGCAACUCCUUUCCAGAGCUUUAUGCAAUUCGUCUUCCAGGAGUCCCAGUCUUUGACCAGGUCCUCGACGUGCUUCUUGGCGUUGGUCUUGAGCACUAUGACCAAUUUCAAGAAAAAAGAAAGCAAACAGUCAGCAACAUGCUAUGGCAAUAUAUAUAAAAAAACUUCGUGGUCGAAAAGGACAAAAUAGAUCCUACUAGCCAGCUCCCGAUUCUUGGUCUUCAGCUCCUCACCAACCUUGCGCUCGCUUUCCAGCGCACGGGCGCGCUCCUGGUCGAGUUGGUCUCUCUCCUUUUGGAGACGCUCGAUCUCCUCCUCCAGACCUGAAGUAAUAAUUGUUCGUCAUCAAAACCGACCAUGUGGUUAACUGCAACUACUCAGAUCACUUGACUUACCCCUCUUCUCACAGUCCUUAUCGGCUAGUCGCCGAGUCAGGUCCAGCAGAUGCUCUUCCUGAGCCGCCUUCUCGGCCACCUCCCUUUCGGCCUCUAGCCGAAGGCGGUCCACCUCCGCGGUCAGGGCCUUGUUCUCGGCGACCACGCCCUCAAUUUGGUCGAAGCACCUUUUUCGGUACUUCACCGUUUUCAUUGCGUCCUGCGGAAAUCGAACAUACCACAUAGUGAACAAAUCAUGGUAUAUAUAUACUCAAGCAAAGUAUAAGACCACUCACCUUAACUUCAUUAACAAGCCGCUUGGUAGUGCGCUCCACCCUCUCCGCCUCUUCGGUCUCAGCGAUCUCAUAUUCUAUUCUGUAAUCAAUGUUGAUGAUUGCAAAUCCCUUCCCAGUGGUAAAAAUAUAAAUAACGAUACCUGGAAUACUUCCCGGUUAAAAUGCUGCAUCGGUAUUAAUAUGUGCGCUUGCAGAUCCCAUUCAUUAUUUAUUUAGAAGAGCAAUUGCAUAUUUCAAUACCGUGUCUCUCAUGUCAUGCUGGGGAUGACAACUUGGCUUAAGUGGUGUGAGGGAUAGGUUUGGCAUUUUUGGCACCGUUACUAGAUUUAGAGAACUUAGUCUACUUUUGGUAAUGAUGUUAAGAAUACCCAACAAGCAUUUUUGGCACCGUUGCCGGGGAAGGUUGAUUACUAAUCAAGAAUGGAAUAAAGGGUUUUGAGUUAUCAUUCGCAUCACUAAUAUGAUUGAGCUUAUCUAUUCUCUUAUACAGUUUUACCCCGAUAUUUUCUAUUUUAACUUAUGCAGGGGAAUGUAUGAAUAGAAGACAUCUUCCAGGAAAUUUUGUUGACAAUCCCGAAGUAUUAUUCAAGAAGACUAGAGCCAAACUCAAGAAGAGAUCAUCAACACUUCAGCAAGAAGCUUCAUCCAAUCAAGAAGAUUACCGGAACUUGUCUUCAGAGUUCGAAGCCAUGGCAAACAAAUCAAUCCGUGAGUUCUCAGCUCCCACUACGGACAACAUCCGCACUGGACCUGCUGCAGAGAUCGAUGGCAACUUUGAGCUCAAGCCUGGACUUAUCAACAUGGUGCAAUCCAACCAGUUCUGUGGGAAGGCACACGAAGAUGCUAGUGCUCAUCUACAACACUUCCUAGAGAUUUGUAACACAUUCACCAUAUCAGGAGUUUCCAAAGAUGCUAUACUACUUCGCCUCUUCCCAUUCUCUCUAUUAGGAAGAGCGAAGCAGUGGUUCUACGCUACAAAGGAGAAGAAUACUACGUGGGUACUCUACUCAACAAACUUCCUGGCUAAGUUCUUUCCCAUGGGCAAGACUAAUGCUCUCCGUGGGAAGAUUACAAGUUUUCAGCAACAAAAUGAUGAAUCUAUUCCAGAAGCAUGGGAGCGUUUUCAAGACUACAUCCUAGAAUGUCCCCAUCAUGGAAUGGAGAGUUGGCUAUUGAUGCAGACGUUCUAUCAUGGGCUCGGCAACAGUGCCCGAGAGACCAUGGAUGCUGCAGCUGGAGGAGCAUUCUUAUCACUUACUAUACCACAAGCCACAGCUCUUGUGGAGAAGAUGGCGUCCAAUCAAAGCUGGAAUGAAGAGAGGACCCAGACACGCAAGAGAGGUGGAGGUAUGCAUCAGCUCAAGGAGGUAGACAUGCUGUCUGCAAAGCUAGACCUGCUCAUGAAGAAGCUCGAUGAUAGAGCUGGAGAUAAGAAAGAAGUUAUGCACAUCUACGACUCUCACAUGACUUGUGAGGAGUGUGGAGACACUGGACACUCAGGCAAUCACUGCCCUGAGAUGCUUGAGGAUGUGAACUACAUCAACAACAACAACAACUACUACUACAACCGUCCUCAACAAAAUCAAGGUUGGAAUCAACAGAGGCCUAACUACUCAGGUAAUUAUCAAGGUAAUAAUUCUUACAACAAUACUAAUAAUUUUCCACCUUUGAGAGAAUUAGUGUCUAAUCAAGGAAAGCUAAUGGAUAACCUAUCUAAGAAAUUGGCAUCUAAUGAUAAAAUGCUAGAAAAUAUAAAUAAUAGAAUGGAUAAUUUCUCUACUGCCAUCAAGAAUCAAAUUAGCUUUAAUAAAAUGAUUGAAUCUUAGUUAAAUCAAAUAGCUGCUGCUGUUCCUGCUACUAACCCCGGUAUACCAUCACAACCGGAAGGAUUAGAAUCUGCAAAUCUUGUAGACAUGUUUGAUGCAGGUAAUAAUUGGAGUAACCCCGUCACUGAAUUCAAUACUGACCUUCUGCCGGUCAAGAGAGGUGAUCCAGGACGCCCCGUCAUCCCGAUCUCCAUCGGCAUGGUGGACGUCCUAGAAGCACUCUGUGACUUUGGCUCUAGCGUCAACAUUAUACCCAGGGUACUCUAUGAAAAAUUCUUUACAUAUCCUUUAUUAGAGACAACCAUGUGUUUGCAGUUUGCAGAUCAGACGAUAACUUUUCCAAAAGGAAUAUUGAGGAAUCUUUGUGUCUGAGUUGGUACCUUGUAUGCCCCAGCAGACUUCGUAGUGGUAGAGACCGGAAAUGAUGAGAGGGCACCCAUCAUCUUAGGGAGGCCAUUCUUAAACACCACGGGAGCUAUCAUCUACGCUAGUGCUGCCAAGAUCAGUUUCUACAUCAAAGGGAGGAAGGAGACAUUUUUCUUGAGGAACAAGACUACACAAAUCCCUGAUCAAUCCAGACGUGAAUCAAGUAAGAGGACCAACAGGAGGAACAGGAACAAGCAAGUAUGGACCGAGUCAGCUAAGAUGGUCACUGUAGUUCAUGGAGGCCAAGAUCACCAACUUAAGUCACCGUUUUUGACCAAGAAGGAUGACCCAGGAAUGCCAAGCAUCUACUGCUCCAUAAAUGGAUACAGCUUUUACAAGACAUUUUGCGACACCGGAUCGGGCAUCAACAUAAUGGCCGCAGUCACCUAUCAGCUCUUGUUCGGAACCAUGCCACUAAGACCAACAUACAUUCAGCUCCAGAUGGCAGAUUAGACUUUUCGAAAAGUUAAAGGAAUAGUAACUGAUGUCCCAGUUAAAAUAGACGAUCAUUUUAUCUACACAGACUUUCAAGUUAUUGACAUGGGAGAAGAUGAAUACGGUCCACCCAUCAUCCUUGGAAGACCGUUCCUCAGCACCGUUAAAGCAAUCAUCUACAUUGGAACCGGAGAAGUCCAUAUGCACUUCCCCUCAGAGAAGGUACGCCGUUAUUUUACUGACCCUAACUAUAUCGUUGAAAAAUCUAAGCAGGUGAGGAAACGACGCAACCGCAACCAGAGGAGGCAAAUCAUCAAGGACGGAUGGGCAGACUAUGAAGGAGAAGUUGUAAGGUCAGAAGACGUAGAGUUUAAAGAGAAUUAUCCAGAGGAGACUGAAGCACCGAGUCAAGUAUGGAAAGAGAAGAUAAUUAUACAUGAAGAGGAGGCGCUGCCGGAAGUACCGACUCCGCCACCCAACGAAUCCUAGGACAAUUGAAGAAAACGGAGAGUCCCGUUCGGAGGACUUAAAAACACCGAACGCCUUGCCAAGAGGUAAACUUGGUAGUUAUCCUUUCCCUUUCAAUUAUUUAAAAUAGUUUGCUUAGUUACUUAUGUUCAUGCUAUCAUAAAAAGAAAAUAAAAAUGUGAAAAACAGUAAGCCCCAUGUGAGUAGACGAGUGGCAUAAAACCCAUAAGUACAUUCACUGUGGUGGCAUAAAAAUAAAAUAAAUAUUUCAUUUCUGCUUUAUAAAAUGAAAAUAUAAAAACAGGGAGUAAUAUUUAUUGAGGAGUCUCAACAUGAUAAAGGCUAGAUAUUUAUGCUAACACUUAAUCAGUCAACAAGCUUUGUUGUCUAUUUGAGCUCCGCAGAAUUUAAGAAUCAAGAAGACUAGCAGACGGAGGACAUUCUAAUCACUGUCAGAAUGCUGCUGACUUUCAAAUACACCUCUGCCACCUGCUAGCUACAUCAAGAGAAAUUACGUCAAAAUCCAGCUUGGGGGAGAGCACCCCCAUUUAUACCGAUAAGUAUUUCUAUCUAUCUAUCUAUCUUUAUACUUAUACUAUAUUAAAAUAUAAAUAUACAUAAACCAGGAAAAACCAAAUAAAGAUUUUGUGCUUAUAUAUAUAUCUUUUGCUUAGUAUGUUUAAUAAAUAAAUAAAUAAAGUGGCUAUGCUAAUCUGUAUCUAAAUAAAACUCAAGCACGGAUAUGAUGAAUAGUUGCUCUGCCUAAUUUGUAAAUUUUAAGUUCUCUCUCAAGCUUAGACAUAAUUGUUAUAAUUUAAAGCUUGCUCUAGACCUAAACUUGUGGGAUGAAAACUUGAUCUGAAGUCUAAGUUGUUAACGGAUAUGAUAUGGGAAGGUUGAGCUGCUGUUUAUCUGUUCCUAGAGAUGCUAGAAUUCUGGAGAAUUUUAUCUUUGAAAAUCUUUAAAAUGUUGCAUGAUGAGUUCCUGUUUGAUGAGAGUUUAAAUUUCUACCACAGCCAUAUAUACAUGCUUGCUAGACUUUGAGCCACACAUUUACUAUUUACUGCUUAUGAGCAUUGAGUGUGGUCAAGCUGUGUAGACCCUUAGGAGCUUGUCAUGUGGUUAAAUCAAGAUUUCACUUGCACGUUCACUCAUAUAUGCUACUUCUACUCCGAAAGUACCAUCCACAUAUAUCCACCCAUUUCCAUCUCCAGAACCACCCAAAAAUAUUCUACUCCUAACCCGGGAGAGAAUAGCCAAAAAUAUUUCUGUUUUUCCUUUAUGAAAUAAAUGCUCAAGUUAUCUUGUUACUACCACUUGCUAUAUUAUCUCAAGAGAUGAGUGCUCUAAAAAAAAGAGAAAAAAAAGAUACGAGGAAAUAAAAAGGAGCAAGUGCUCGGAACCUCGAAAGAAAAGAAAAAGUGAGACGAGAGGUAAAAAUAGACAAGUGUCCGACAGUAGAAUUAGGGGUACAAGAUACCCACCUGAGAGGAAAGAAAAUGAAGAGCAUCUCAUUCUCCUCAUAAAAUUUCAAAAAAAAGCAAGGAAGGUAUGUAUCCCCUCAAAAGAGCAAAGUAGAAUUAGACUUUCACCAUUGUUAUCACCAUCAUCACCAUAUACCAUUCGCCACACAUGCACAUCUUGAUUGAACUUAUUGGCUUGUUUCUUUGGAUCCAUGGUUUGACUAUGCAAUACAUGUCUUGUGAGUAUGUAUAUUUUAUCUCCCACCUAUGAGCUCCAGAUAUUAAAGUCUUAUUAGAGUAGGGUGAGAGAGAAGGCAAUGUCACUAUGCUUUAUACCAUACUACAUAUCUUGAGAGAAGGCAUAUACCAUCACUGCCUUGGUAAGGAUCCAGAAAUACCACAAAAAAGAGAUAUGAGAGAAUCAUACAAGGAAUCUCUGAGUUUUAUUUGAAAAUCUGCAAAAACUCCAGAACUAUAGCUGAUCAAGAAUGAGAGACCUGGCACUUGGCUAGACUGUUCUAUCUUUUAACUACUCAAGACUGAAGUGACGGUUACAAGUCCCAUGGUGAAGGUAAAGUAAGUAAGUUUUAAGUCUUGACAGUUUACUCUAACUCAGAGAUGAGAUCUUAUUUUAAAAGCAUGUGUACCGUUAAUUUUUAAAGAUAUUGCAACAACUUCUAAUCCAUUGCUGAGUCUAUCCUUGCUCAGGGACGAGCAAGAGGUAAGCUUGGGGGCGUUUGUUGACGGUCCUUAAGUAUCAAAUUUAAUUAUCAAAUAAACAAAGAAAAGGAUCCAAAUGAAAUCAACAUCUAGACUUAGGGUUUUAUCUGACAGAAUUCCACGAGUUUUGGUGUUUGUCUAUUUCUACAGGGGGUUAUCAGGAAAUACGAAAGAAAGGCCCACACGUCGGGAUUACAUAGAGAUAUUAACGUACCGCGCAAUUAUCUUACGUCUAGAAGACUCCAGAAGCCACGAGACCGAAGCGGAGACGAAACGGGGCCAGAGGCAGGGCGCCCGCCCUGUUCCCCUGGGCGCCCGCCCCCUCCCUGAGUCCAAUCAGGACUCUGCUUUGUGGGAGAUCUCCACCGACCUAAAGGAUGAAUCUAAACCAUACAAUCUAUGUCGGUUUGAUCCAAUGACCCAUAUUCACUUGAAGGGACUAUAAAACCAGACCCCCUGACCCCUGGAGGAGAGAGCCUCUCAACCCUAAUUCAUUAUUCCUCAAGGGAGAGGAAGCCUCUGAUCAAGAUUAGAGCCACCACAUCAAUUAGAUAUCUAGAUUAGCAUAGCUAUAUAGGAUUAGAACUAGAAGGAGUCAAUCUUCGAUUGGUUUCUGGAUCUGUCAAGAGGAUUCUUGGUAAUUCUCUAAUUGUGCUUCUAAUUGUUCUUCUAAUUAUCUUUGUUCUUCAAUAUUAUGAAUAUGACUUUGUUCUACUUCAAUAUAUUGCUUAUGACUUUGCUCUACUUGCUUAUAUUCAAGAUUAUAUUGUUCUUAGUUUAUCAUAGUUAUGUACUUGGCUUAGUUAGAUUGGAUCUAUAUACAUGCUUAGGAUCGUAUAGCGUUUAUCCAUCGGAUCCAUGGGUAAAUGAUAGAUAUUGUGUAGGCGUGGUGCUUAUACCGUAUUUAUCUGCGAUUGUACCCAAUAUGCCAGAUCGUGGGGUAGUUCGUGAUAGUGACAGCUUCAUUGAUUCUUAUAUAGUCCCCCUCUCGUGUAUUGGGCUGGCAGAGCAACAUUAUUAUAAGGGAGUGAUUGCUAUGUUUCUCAUUUACCUUGCUAAUAUCACUAUGCAUGGGCGUAGUCUUGUCUCACAAUGAUUGCUAAGUAUGCUUGCACUAACUAUGAUAAUGCUAGACUAUAUAGUUGAGAAUAACUUAGGGAAUAUUCUUGUAGUUCAUUCUAAUUCUAUGCUAAUGACUUUCUAGAGUAUCUAAUUGAGGUGCUUAUCAUAUUUAUUAUGUGGCUAGAUCAGAUUAAUUAUCCUUGUCACUAUUUAUUAUUUCAUAUAUCCUUUAUGUGACACUUAUCCCUGUAUAAGAGUUAGAUAAAUGUUCUCAACUAUACAUGCAAUGAUAGAUACUCAAUCUCAUAUUCUGUUCCGUAAUCAAUGUUGAUGAUUGCUAAUCCCUUCCCAGUGUUAAAAAUAUAAAUAACGAUACCUGGAAUACUUCCCGGUUAAAAUGCUGCAUCGGUAUUAAUCUGUGCGCUUGCAGAUCCCAUUCAUUAUUUAUUUAGAAGAGCAAUUGCAUAUUUCAAUACCGCGUCUCUCAUGUCAUGCUAGGGAUGACAACUUGGCUUAAGUGGUGUGAGGGAUAGGUUUGGCAUUUUUGGCGCCGUUACUAGAUUUAGAGAACUUAGUCUACUUUUGGUAAUGAUGUUAAGAAUACCCAACAGUGGGCACGCACCAUGCUAAGGACAUGCGCCCCAGCAAACUCCCCGACAUCCUUGACAAACUGCUGAAGCCAGCCCCACGCCUGCUGCGCCUUCUCGACUGGGGUCAGCCUCGGUGCGUGGGGCUGGUCCUCGAGAAGCUCGGGGCUGAUCAGAUCCAGCACCAGAGCAACUCCUUUCCAGAGCUUUAUGCAAUUCGUCUUCCAGGAGUCCCGGUCUUUGAGCAGGUCCUCGACGUGCUUCUUGGCGUUGGUCUUGAGCAAUAUGACCAAUUUCAAGAAAAAAGAAAGCAAACAGUCAGCAACAUGCUAUGGCAAUAUAUAUAAAAAAACUUCGUGGUCGAAAAGGACAAAACAGAUCCUACUAGCCAGCUCCCGAUUCUUGGUCUUCAGCUCCUCACCAACCUUGCGCUCGCUUUCCAGCGCACGGGCGCGCUCCUGGUCGAGUUGGUCUCUCUCCUUUUGGAGACGCUCGAUCUCCUCCUCCAGACCUGAAGUAAUAAUUGUUCGUCAUCAAAACCGACCAUGUGGUUAAUUGCAACUACUCAGAUCACUUGACUUACCCCUCUUCUCAGAGUCCUUAUCGGCUAGUUGCCGAGUCAGGUCCAGCAGACGCUCUUCCUGAGCCGCCUUCUCGGCCACCUCCCUUUCGGCCUUUAGCCGAAGGUGGUCCACCUCCGUGGUCAGGGCCUUGUUCUCGGCGACCACGCCCUCAAUUUGGUCGAAGCACCUUUUUUGGUACUUCACCGUUUUCAUUGCGUCCUGCGGAAAUCGAACAUACCACAUAGUGAACAAAUUAUGGUAUAUAUAUACUCAAGCAAAGUAUAAGACCACUCACCUUAACUUCAUUAACAAGCCACUUGGCAGUGCGCUCCACCCUCUCCGCCUCUUCGGUCUCAGCGAUCUCCUCGUGGCCUUCCCAGUGGUCCCCACGCUGGCGCCAUACGUAAAUGUGUUGGCGUCCAUCGUGGGGACGCCCCUGGAUUUCCUCCACUUCAUCAUCGGAGGCCGCUCGAGCCUCCUCACCUUCUGUGCUGCCCCCAGCCACAGUAACAGGUAUCAUCGGGCCCUUACCGCGGCUAGGAGAGCCCUCAUGCGUGGGAGUCAUCGCUAGAGUCAGAGAUGGGGCCUUGCUUUCUUCAACCAGAGCAGGGGAUGGGACUUUGUGUCCCUCCUCUGCCACGCUGCUCGGGGGAGGAGUCCUCACGGUGGCAUCCUCCCUUGCUGGGGUGCUCGCUCCGGCUCUUCCGCGGAUAGGGUCCUCGUCGGCCACUUCCGUCAUACCUACAAUGGCGGGCUGCUCCACAGGUUGCUCUGUAGCAGUCUGUCCCGUGAGCCGUGCUCGGCGGCAACCGGCUCGGUCGUUCUCGAGCUCAAAACAUUGCUAGGAUCAACAUCUGAGGCAGUACUACAAGAAAAAUCGAAUCCAGAGUUACCACACUGAAAUUUGAACCUACAAAAAACUGAACCUUUAUAGAUAAAAUUACAGAUCAGAGCUUCUGUGCGCCGUGGUAAAGACCCUUCCCAUGGACCGCCUAGUCGUCGCCGCUGCUUCUGUUGGUCCAGGUCAUGCCUGCUCGACAUGCGCGGCAGGCGGGUCCUCAGCGACCCGACCAGCGUCGCUUGGUGUGACGUCAGGGCAACUGCGUGGUCUGCAGACUAAGGUUGAGGCCUCCUCCUCCUCCUCCUCCUCCUCCUCGUCGAUGAUUCUAACCAGCCGGUAGCGCUUGGGCGCCCGGGUGUCCGUAGUCGACCCCUGGCCCAUCAAAGGACCUGUGGCUGUCCCCAUGGAUGCCGCUUCUGCUGAAGAUGGCUGCACAGCCAUUGGCCUCUUACCGGCCACCCUGUCGUCUGUGGUCGGCGCCGGCCGGUCGUCUCCCUCGUCGCUACUGGUGUAUCAGUCACACCGAGCAGUGUCGUCUGCUGGGGGAUCCACUCCGGCCAGGUGAUCCAUACCGGGUGCUAGCGAUACAUACACCGUGUACCGAUCAAUAUCUCCUAUCUGCGACACAAAGGCGACAAGUCAUUAGCCAAAGAGUACAGUAUUCAACAGCAUUACAUAUUAACCAAGGUCUUCAUUUACCUUAGGAGCUGGUCGGCCUAGUUUGAAGGCAUGCAUCCAAUCAUCGCUUCGUACGAAGCUAUUAUCAGCUAAUUUGAAUAACUCAUUGAUCCUCUGCUGGAUCUCUGAUUUUUCCAAGUUGUCCCGAUGCAUCCUGGUCGGGUCUUGACUUCCUGCGUACUCAUACGCCGAGUGCACCCUCCUCUGGCAAGGCAUCACUCUUCGAGUGAGGAAAUUCCCGACCACCCCUGGUCCAUCCAGGCGGGACCAGUCGAUCAGACUCAUCAACUCUAACACCUGACCAGUGUACUCUGGCCGAUCUGUCUAGCUGACCCUCUUCUCGGGAAUGUAGCCGACGUCACAGAAUGUGGCGCUGCCCGGCUCCUCCCUGAUGUAGAAUCACAUCUUAUACCACUUGGUGAGGGAGGUGUUCCAUGGGUAGCUGAGGUAACGGUUCUUCAUCCUGUCGCGAAGAUUGAGGUAUACUCCACCUGCAAUCUUGGAGCCUCCAACCGCUCCCUUCUUCCUCAAGCAGAACAGGUAGUGGAAGAGAUCAAAGUGCGGCUCUAUCCCAUCAUAGGCCUCGCACAAAUGAAUGAAGGUGGAGCCAAGGAGAAUGGAGUUCAGGUGCAGGUUGCAGAUCCCGAUCUCAUAGUAAAGAAGUAGACCUUGAAGGAAAGGAUGCACUAGAACCCCAAAUCCCCUCUUGAAAAAAUCUUCAAAAACCACAAUCUCACCAGCACGGGGAUCAGGGUAGCUUUCUCCUUCCGGUGCUCUCCAGCCGCCGAGCUCCUAGUUAUGCAGAAGCCCCAUCUCAACGAGGUCGUUGAGGGACCUCGUGUUGCUCUGAGAUUUCUUCCAUUCCUUGGCCAUCAUCUCGGCCCUCUUCUUUGAGUCGCUCUUCGCCAUCUCUUCUUUACGGAAAUUUUUGAACUUGGACUUAAGGGAUUGAGGGUGCUGAGGAAGACGAAGGCAGGAUGCUAGUAUGUGACUGCUGGGUAGAGAAGAAGGGCGCAACCUUGGGUUCUUUUAUAACAACAGCUCCACCUCCCAAGGAGAACGACGCCGAGGGAGAAGGCUUCCCCAAGGUCAAGAACUGCCUAUUGAUCUUCAAGGGGCGCGCGGCUCGCCUCACCGCGAGUCAAAGAAAGCGCGAGCUCUGAGAGGUCUACACGGUUAGCACAGCCAUGCCCUCAUACCUUAAAUGGUCGGAGAGCGCUAUCACGUUUGAUCGACAGGAUCACCCGGAUCGGAUCCCCAAUCCUGGUAGCUAUCCACUCAUCGUCGAUCCCAUCAUCGCCGAGACCCGUCUCUCCAAGGUAUUGAUGGACGGAGGCAGCGGCCUCAACAUUCUUUACGUCGAGACCUUGGCCCUCAUGGGGAUCAGCAAGUCUCGGCUAAGGAAUGAUGCAUCACCAUUCCAUGGAGUGGUGCCAGGGCAUCGUGCCCAUCCCCUCGGCCAGAUCGACCUGCCCAUCUGCUUUGGGACCCCGACAACUUUAGGCGGGAGGUCCUCACCUUCGUCGUGGUUGGGUUCCCAGGGACCUACCACGCGAUCCUUGGGCGACCAUGUUACGCCAAGUUCAUGGCCGUCCUUAAUUACACCUACCUCAAGCUCAAGAUGUCGGGUCCGAACGGCAUCAUCACCGUCAGCACAACGAGCCAGCACGCCUACCAAUGCGACGUCGAGUGCAUUGAGCAGGCCGAGGCUCUAGCUGACUGUCCAUCAUCACCAGCCUCGGUGACGGUGACCAAGACAUCCCUGACCCCAAGCGUCACGCCGGGAGCUUCGAGCUGGCAGAAGAAACCAAGCUCGUCUUCCUCGACCCCGAGGCCUCAGAAGGCAAGGCGUUGAGGAUCAGCUCGAGCCUCGACCCCAAAUGGAAGCAGUGCUCGUCGACUUUCUCCGCGCAAACGCUGAUGUGUUUGCAUGGAGUCCCUCGGACAUGCCAGGCAUACCGAGGGAAGUCGCCGAGCACUCCUUGGACAUCGAAGCCGGCUCCAAGCCCGUGAAGCAGCGCCUGUGCUGAUUCGAUGAGGAGAAGUCGGCCUGGGCAUUCGGUUAUAACCACAAAUUCGGUUCGGUUAAAAUGAUUUCGGUUUCCAGCAAAUAAGCACCGAUCGGUUAUCCAGAAAAAUGAAAACCGCAGAAUUUCGGUUCGGUUUGUAAAUUCGGUUUUCGGUUUUUAACCGUAAUAACCGAACAUAGUGCCAUCAGCAUAUUCAAACAGCAACAGAUUGCAAGCAACAACAUAUUAAAACAACAUCUUAACAUGAAAAUUUAAAAGUAGUGCAUCUCAGUAUCUCACGUUCUCACAGUACACAAAUCAACAAGGCAACAAACAUAGUUUCAAAAGUUCUUCAUUAUUGAAACAGUAAAUAACUAAACAUCCAGCAACAAGCAUGUCCAGGCGUCCAGCAACAGCAGGAGUGCAGGACCAGGCGACUAGCAGCAUCCAGCAUGUCCCAGUCAGCAGUCCUGCUGCCAAUUAGUGAUCUUAGCAUUCCAAUUUCCAAUUCCAAGAAAUAUUUAACAAAUGAAUGUGCAAAACCUGCAAUACAAAUAUACCUUAUACCAAUUGUUCAAGACACAGAAGUAGCUAGAGUAUCAUCCUUAGAAAUGGAAAGGCCACCAAGUUCUAAAAUAAUAUAUGAUCUAAGUAAGUGUUGUGUAUGAAUCAUGAAGCAUUUUAGAAUCAAUUAAGAAUUUAGUAUGUUACCUUCCUCAAGCAAAGUCAAUUGUUCGAUGUCCUCUUCAACACUAACAUAUUUUCCUCCACCUCCACGAAGCCAAUCAUUUGCACAAACGAGGCGCUCAACCAUUUUUGGGGUUAGUGAGGUCCUAAAGUCAUCAAGAGUUCGGCCACCAACACUGAAGGCUGAUUCAGAGGCUACUGAGGUGAUAGGAAUUGCCAACAGAUCACGAGCCAACCUAGAUAAUAUCGGGAAUCUUGUUGCAUUGGCCUUCCACCACUUUAGAAUGUCAAAGUCUUUUGUGUCCGACUCAUUAUCUUCUGAGAGAUACUUGUCUACCUCAGAUUUGACAGUGCCACCCUCACUGUUGAUCUGCUGAGCCAUUUCCAUCCACCUACCCUUUUUUUUGCCGUUUUCAGUUGUAGAUUCAGACUCAGUAGGUUGUGGUGUCUUAUCUUUUGGGGCAUACAUCUCCUUGUACUCUUCAAACAAAGCACAAAAAUAAGUGUUCACUGUUUCCCACAAUUUGUCUCCUAUUGUAUCCCCAAACAUCACCUUGAUUCCCAAUUUGAUGCAAUUUGACAAUUUGUAUCUAGGAUCAAUAGCAACACAAUAGUAAACAUUAAAGUUGAGCAACUGAUCUCCCUUAUCGCCUCUCUUCUCUCUAUCCCCCUGCCUCUCACCAUACUUCUCUCCCCAAUACUUGUAGAAUUUGACUAGCAUUUUUGUAGCCAUUUCUUUGCUAAGGUUGUCUUCACUGUGACCCAUUUCUCUUAGCAAUAGUAAUACUUCAGCAAUCUCAUGAAAAUAAGUGUGAGAUGUGGGCUUUGUUUGUAUAGAAACAUGGAGAGUGAGGUCAUAAAAGUGUUCAAGAAAGUCAGCCAUCUUCCUAGCCUUCUCCCAAUCUGCUUUUGUUGGCACCCCUGGACCAUUCUCUCCUUCUAAUUCUAAUCUGUAGUAUGGGUCCUCAUCACUGUAUCUUUCAAAUGCUUUCUCGUACUUCUCUACAGCAUGUAACAUUAGGUACGUUGAGUUCCAUCUAGUGCAAAUAUCCAAGUUCAGAAAUGCUUUACUCUGUACCUUGGCUAACUCAGCACAUUUCUUAAAUUUCACCAACCUAGAAGACCCACCCCUGAUGAACUUAACUGCAGCACGGAAACGCUGAAUUGAUGUACCAAUUUCCUUCAAGCCAUCACCUACUAUUAAGUUGACAAUGUGAGCAGCACAUCGCAUGUGCACGUACUCUCCUUCAGCAAAACAACCUUUUGACUCAUUCAAGAUCCGCCUCAUGUACUUGACUGCAUUAUUGUUUGCACUAGCAUUGUCUAAUGUUAUUGUAAAAACCUUCUCAAUGCCCCACUCAGCCAAACAAAUGAUUUCCCAAUGUCCUCCCCUCUAUGCCCCUUAACCAAGAAGAAACCAAUAAUUGCUUUCCUAAGAAUCCAAUCAUUAUCAAUAAAAUGGGCUGUAACACACAUGUAGUUUUGGCUAUUCCUAGUUGUCCAUGUGUCAGUUGUGAGGCAAACUCUUUCACAAUUUUCCUUAAAAUAUUUCUUGAGCUUUUAUUUCUCAUCUUCAUAUACUUUAACACAAGCUCUAGUGACUGUCCUUCUAGAUGGCAGAAUAAAUCGUGGACAUGCUUCUGCUAAGAAUUUUCUAAGACCAGAACGUUCAGACAAGACAAAUGGUUGUUCAUCUUCAAUUAUCAUCUCAGCAAACAACCUUCUAAGUUUAUCCGGAUCAAAUUUCCAUGUGGAUACAGUACCAAGAUUACUAUUGCCAGCACAUGGUGUCAAUUGCAAAGUUCCUUGAUUAUCAACUACUGGUUUGUUAGGAUUCUUUUUGCAUAUCUUCAGAUGAGUUUUCAAGGACGACGUACCAUUUGUUCUUGAGCCACAAUGAAACAACUUUUCACACCACUUGCACUUGGCUCUCUCUUCCCCAUUGUCCAGUUUGACCUUGCUGAAACUGGCCCAUACAUCAGAUCUUAGAGUCAUGGGUUUUCUUUUCCUAGAUUCUUCAGUUGCUUUGUCUCCAUCGUUGGUCUGCUGCUGCUCCUUGCUUGGAUCUACCACUCCAGUAGAUGACACACCAGUUACUGAAGCUCCAGCUUCAGUUUCUUGAGUUUGAGACUGAUUAACCUCACAAGCAACUGUUUCAUCUGUGUCCCCCAUCUAAAUACGAAAUGAUUGAAAUCAAGACAUUGACUUAAGAAGAAAUCAGAAAUGAAGGAUUGAAGCUCGAUCUAAUUUUCUAAACUUACAUAGGAGGACUGCUCCGUCAUAGCCGCCGUUGUCUUGUUGGAGAACCUCAGGAGGGUGUUGCCAACCGCCGUCUGCCACUCUGCCUUGCUCCUUGCCGCGACGGCGCGACCUGCUCUGGUUGGCCGCGACCUGCAACAGGCCCUGUGGCACGACGCUCUUCUGCUCGAGCCUUCCAGGGGGAGGGGGGCGCGCCGCCGAGCUCUGUACGGGGGCCGUCUGGGGCGCCGCCAAGCUCUGCUAGGGCCGCCGCCCCUCUGCGCUCUGCCUGUGGUCGGCUGGUCGCCCUAGGGUUGCCGGUUGCCGACUGGGCGUCUCCUGUCUCCGCGUCUGGGCGUCUCCGCAUCCGAGCGAGUCCGUGCGAGCGCGACCGCGUGAAGUCGGCCUGGGCGUGACCGCGAGUGGGCCGUGGUGGCCUGGACUCCUGGUGGGCCGCGACGCGAUGAUGCCGAUGAAGGAAGAGCGAGUGAGCGAUAGACUGACGGAGGGAGUUUCUAGGAGUCCGGUUUAAUCGGUUAUUCGGUUCGGUUUCGGUAUAAAACCGAAGCCGAGGCCGAACACCGAAUACUACAAAAUUUAUAACCGAACCCGCACCCGAAAACUGAAUAAACCGCAAUUUCGGUUCGGUUCGGUUUGCGGUUUGUGGGUAAAAAGUGCCCAGAGUGAAGCAGAAGCAUCAGGCCAUCGGGGAGGAGAUCCACAAGCUGCUGGCGGCCAGAUUCAUCAAGGAGGUAUUCCAUCCCGAGUGGUUAGCUAACCCUGUACUGGUUAAAAAGAAAAAUGGGAAGUGGAGGAUUUGUGUAGACUAUACUAAUUUAAAUAAAGCAUGUCCCAAGAAUCCUUUUCCAUUACCUUGUAUCGACCAGAUAGUUGACUCUACCGCGGGGUGUGAAACUUUGUCUUUCCUUGAUGCUUAUUUCGGAUACCACCAAAUCAAGAUGAAAGAGUUUGACCAGCUCGCGACUUCUUUCAUCACCCCUUUCGGAAUGUUUUGCUACGUAACCAUGCCGUUCGGCCUUAAGAAUGCAGGGGCUACAUACCAGCGGUGUAUGCUCCAGGUCUUCGGAGACCUUAUAGGCAAGACGGUAGAGGCUUACGUGGAUGACAUCGUGGUCAAAUCCAGAAUGCCAAGCGGCCUUGUGGCCGACCUGGAUGAAACAUUCCAGUGCCUCAGGGCUAAGGGGAUCAGACUAAACCUCGAAAAAUGUGUUUUCGGGGUCCCCCGAGGCAUGCUCCUCGGGUUCAUAGUGUCUGAGCGAGGGAUCGAGGCCAACCCCGAGAAGGUCUCGACCAUCGCGAACAUGGGCCCAAUCCGUAACCUAAAGGGAGUACAGAGAGUCAUGGGAUGCCUCGCAUCUCUUAGUCAUUUCAUCUCCCGUCUUGGGGAAAAAGGACUACCUCUGUGUUGACGGUCCUUAAGUAUCAAAUUUAAUUAUCAAAUAAAUAAAGAAAAGGAUCCAAAUGAAAUCAAGAUCUAGACUUAGGGUUUUAUCUGACAGAAUUCCACGAGUUUUGGUGUUUGUCUAUUUCUGCAGAGGGUUAUCAGGAAAUAUGGAAGAAAGGCCCACAUGUCAGGAUUACGUAAAGAUAUUAACGUGUUGCGCAAUUAUCUUACAUCUAGAAGACUCCAGAAGCCACGAGCCCGCCCACCUCCUGUGUCCAAUCAGGACUCUGCUUUGCGGGAGAUCUCCACCGACCUAAAGGAUGAAUCUAAACCAUACAAUCUAUGUCGGUUUGAUCCAAGGGCCCAUAUUCACUUGGAGGGACUAUAAAACCAGACCCCCUGGCCCCUGGAGGAGAGAGCCUCUCAACCCUAAUUCAUUGUUCCAUCAAGGGAGAAGAAGCCUCUGAUCAAGAUUAGAGCCACCACAUCAAUUAGACAUCUAGAUUAGCAUAGCUACAUAGGAUUAGAACUAGAAGGAGUCAAUCUUCGAUUGGUUUCCGGAUCUGUCAGGAGGAUUCUUCGUAAUUCUCUAAUUGUGCUUCUAAUUGCUUUCUAAUUAUCUUUGUUCUUCAAUAUUAUGAAUAUGACUUUGUUCUACUUCAAUAUAUUGCUUAUGACUUUGCUCUACUUGCUUAUAUUCAAGAUUAUAUUGUUCUUAGUUUAUCAUAGUUAUGUACUUGGCUUAGUUAGAUUCGAUCUAUAUACAUGCUUAGGAUCGUAUAGCGUUUAUCCAUCGGAUCCAUGGGUAAAUGAUAGAUAUUGUGUAGGCGUGGUGCUUAUACCGUAUUUAUCUGCGAUUGUACCCAAUAUGCCAGAUCGUGGGGUGGUUCGUGAUAGUGACAGCUUCAUUGAUUCUUAUAUAGUCCCCCUCUCGUGUAUUGGGCUGGCAGAGCAACAUUAUUACAGGGGUGUGAUUGCUAUGUUUCUCAUAUUCCUUGCUAAUAUCACUAUGCAUGGGCGUAGUCUUGUCUCGCAAUGAUUGCUAAGUAUGCUUGCACUAAUUAUGAUAAUGCUAGACUAUAUAGUUAAGAAUAACUUAGGGAAUAUUCUUGUAGUUCGUUCUAAUACCAUGCUAAUGACUUUCUAGAGUAUCUAAUUGAGGUGCUUAUCAUAUUUAUUAUGUGGCUAGAUCAGAUUAGUUAUCCUUGUCACUAUUAUUAUUUCAUAUAUCUUUUAUGUGACACUUAUCCCUGUAUGAAGAGUUAGAUAUAAUGUUCUCAAUUAUACAUGCAAUGAUAGAUGCUCAAUCUCAUAUUCUAUUCUAUAAUCAAUAGUGAUGAUUGCUAAUCCCUUCCCAGUGGUAAAAAUAUAAAUAACGAUACCUGGAAUACUUCCCGGUUAAAAUGCUGCAUCGGUAUUAAUCUGUGCGCUUGCAGAUCCCAUUCAUUAUUUAUUUAGAAGAGCAAUUGCAUAUUUCAAUACCGCGUCUCUUAUAUCAUGCUGGGGAUGACAACUUGGCUUAAGUGGUGUGAGGGAUAGGUUUGGCAUUUUUGGCACCGUUACUAGAUUUAGAGAACUUAGUCUACUUUUGGUAAUGAUGUUAAGAAUACCCAACAAGCAUUUUUGGCGCCGUUGCCGGGGAAGGUUGAUUACCAAUCAGGAAUGGAAUAAAAGAUUUUGAGUUAUCAUUCGCAUCACUAAUAUGAUUGAGCUUAUCUAUUCUCUCAUACAGUUUUACCCCGAUAUUUUUCUAUUUUAUCUUAUGCAGGGGAAUGUAUGAAUAGAAGACAUCUUCCAGGGAAUUUUGUUGACAAUCCUGAAGCAUUAUUCAAGAAGACGAGAGCCAAGCUAAAGAAAUCAUCAACACUUCACGAAGAAGCUUCAUCCAAUCAAGAAGAUCACCGGAACUUGUCUUCAGAGUUCGAAGCCAUGGCGAACAAAUCAAUCCGCGAGUUCUCAGCUCCCACUACGGACAACAUCCGCACUGGACCUGCUGUAGAGAUCGAUGGCAACUUUGAGCUCAAGCCUGGACUUAUCAACAUGGUGCAAUCCAACCAGUUCUGUGGGAAGGCACACGAAGAUGCUAGUGCUCAUUUACAACACUUCCUGGAGAUUUGCAACACAUUCACCAAAGCAGGAGUUUCCAAAGACGCUAUACUACUUCGCCUCUUCCCAUUCUCACUGUUAGGAAGAGCGAAGCAGUGGUUCUACGCUACAAAGGAGAAGAAUAUUACGUGGGCACUCUGCUCAACAAACUUCCUGGCAAAGUUCUUUCCCAUGGGCAAGACCAAUGCUCUCCGUGGGAAGAUUACAAGUUUUCAGCAACAAAAUGAUGAAUCUGUUCCAGAAGCAUGGGAGCGCUUUCAAGACUACAUCCUAGAAUGUCCCCAUCAUGGAAUGGAGAGUUGGCUAUUGUUGUAGACGUUCUAUCAUGGGCUCAGCAACAGUGCCCGAGAGACCAUGGAUGCUGCAGCUGGAGGAGCAUUCUUAUCACUUACUAUACCACAAGCCACAGCUCUUGUGGAGAAGAUGGCAUCCAAUCAAAGCUGGAAUGAAGAGAGGACCCAGACAUGCAAGAGAGGUGGAGGUAUGCAUCAGCUGAAGGAGGUAGACAUGCUGUCUGCAAAGCUAGACCUGCUCAUGAAGAAGCUCGAUGAUAGAGCUGGAGACAAGAAAGAAGUUAUGCACAUCUACGACUCUCACAUGACUUGUGAGGAGUGUGGAGAUACUGGACACUCAGGCAACCACUGCCCUGAGAUGCUUGAGGAUGUGAACUACAUCAACAACAACAACAACUACUACUACAACCGUCCUCAACAAACUCAAGGUUGGAAUCAACAGAGGCCUAACUACUCAGGUAAUUAUCAAGGUAACAAUUCUUACAACAACAAUAGUAAUUUUCCACCUUUGAGAGAGUUAGUGUCUAAUCACGGAAAGCUAAUGGAUAAUCUAUCUAAGAAAUUGGCAUCUAAUGAUAAAAUGCUAGAAAAUAUAAAUAAUAGAAUGGAUAAUUUCUCGACUGCCAUCAAGAAUCAAAUUAGCUUUAAUAAAAUGAUUGAAUCCCAGUUAAAUCAAAUAGCUGCUGUUCCUACUACUAACCUCGGUAUACCAUCACAACCGGAAGGAUUAGAAUCUGCAAAUCUUGUAGACAUGUUUGAUGCAGGUAAUUGGAGUAACCCCGUCACUGAAUUUUCUACUGACCGUCUGCCGGUCAAGAGAGGCGAUCCAGGACGCCCCGUCAAACCGAUCUCCAUCGGCAUGGUGGACUUCCCAGAAGCACUCUGCGACUUUGGCUCCAGUGUCAACAUUAUACCCAGGGUACUCUAUGAAAAAUUCUUUACAUAUCCUUUAUUAGAAACAACCAUGUGUUUGCAGUUUGCAGAUCAGACGAUAACUUUUCCAAAAGGAAUAGUGAGGAACCUUUGUGUCCGAGUUGGUACCUUAUAUGCCCCAGCAGACUUCGUAGUGGUAGAGACCGGAAAUGAUGAGAGAGCACCUAUCAUCUUAGGGAGGCCAUUCUUGAAUACCACGGGAGCUAUCAUCUACGCCAGUGCUGCCAAGAUCAGUUUCUAUGUCAAAGGGAAGAAGGAGACAUUUUUCUUCAAGAACAAGACUACACAAAUUCCAGAUCAAUCCAGACGUAAAUCAAGGAAGAGGACCAACAGGAGGAACAGGAACAAGCAAGUGUGGACCGAGUCAGCUAAGAUGGUCACUGCAAUUCAUGGAGGCCAAGAUCAUCAACUUAAGUCACCGUGUUUGACUAAGAAGGAUGACCCAGGAAUGCCAAGCAUUUACUGCUCCAUAAAUGGAUACAACUUCUACAAGACGAUUUGCGACACCGGAUCAGGCGUCAACAUAAUGGCCGCACUCACCUAUCGGCUCUUGUUCGGAACCAUGCCACUAAAACCAACAUACAUUCAGCUCCAGAUGGCAGAUCAGACAUUUCAAGAAGUUCAAGGGAUAGUAUCUGAUGUCCCAGUCAAAAUAGACGAUCACUUUGUCUACACAGACUUUCAAGUUGUUGACAUGGGAGAAGAUGAGUAUGAUCCACCCAUCAUCCUUGGAAGACCGUUCCUCAGCACCGUUAAAGCAAUUAUCUACAUUGGAACUGGAGAAGUCCAUAUGCACUUCCCCUCAGAGAAGGUACGCUGUUAUUUUACUGACCCUAACUAUAUCAUUGAAGAAUCUAAGCAGGUAAGAAAGCGACGCAACCGCAACAUGAGGAGGCAGAUCAUCAAGGACAGAUGGGCAGACUAUGAAGGAGAAGUUGUAAGAUCAGAAGACGGUGAGUUUAAACAGAAUUAUCCAGAGGAGAUUGAAGCACCAAGUCAGGUGUGGAAAAUGAAGAUAACUAUACAAGAAGAGGAGGCGCUGCCGGAAGUACCGACUACGCCACCCAACGAACCUCAGGACGAUUAAGAAAAUGGAGAGUCCCGUUCGGAGGACUUAAAAACACCGAACGCCCUGCCAAGAGGUAAACUUGGUAGUUAUCCUUUCCCUUUCAAUUAUUUCAAAUAGUUUACUUAGUUAAUCAUGUUCGUAUUAUCCCCAUGUGAGUAGACGAGUGGCAUAAAACCCAUAAGUACAUUCACUGUGGUGGCAUAAAAAUAAAAUAAUUAUUUUUCUGCUUUAUAAAAUAAAAAUAUAAAAACAGGGAGUAACAAUUAUUAAGGAGUCUCAACAUGAUAAAGGCUAGAUAUUUAUGCUAACACUUAAUCAGUUCCACAAGCUAUGUUGUCUAUUUGAGCUCCACAGAAUUUAUGAAUCAAGAAGACUAGCAGACGGAGGACAUUCUAAUCGCUGUCAGAAUGCUGCUGACUUUCAAAUACACCUCUGCCGCCUGCUUGCUACAUCAAGAGAAAUUACGUCAAAAUUCAGCUUGGGGGAGAGCACCCCCAUUUAUCUCGAUAAGUAUAUCUAUCUAUCUUUAUACUUAUAUUAUAUUAGAAUAUUAAAUAUACAUAACUAUGAAAAAACCAAAUAAAGAUUUUAUGCUUAUAUAUAUAUAUGUCUUUUGCUUAGUGUGUUUAAUAAAUAAAUAAAGUGGCUAUGCUAAUCUGUAUCUAAAUAAAACUUAAGCAUGGAUAUGAUAAAUAGUUGCUCUGCCUAAUUUGCACAUUUUAAGUUCUCUCUCAAGUUUAGACAUAACUGUUAUAAUUUAAGGCUUGCUCUAGACCUAAACUUGUGGGAUGAAAAUUUGAUCUGAAGUCUAAGUUGUUAACGGAUAUGAUAUGGAAAGGUUGAGCUGCUGUUUAUCUGUUCCUAGAGAUGCUAGAAUUCUGGAGAAUUUUAUCUUUGAAAAUCUUUAAAAUGUUGCAUGAUGAGUUCCUGUAUGAUGAGAGUUUAAAUUCCUACCAAAGCCAUAUAUACAUGCUUGCUAGACUUUGAGCCACACAUUUAUUAUGUACUGCUUAUGAGCAUUGAGUGUGGUCAAGCUGUGUUGACCCUUAGGAGCUUGUCAUGUGGUUAAAUCAAUAUUUCACUUGCACGUUCACUCAUAUAUGCUACUUCUACUCCGGAAGUACCAUCCACAUAUAUCCACCCAUUCCAUCUCCAGAAUCACCCAAAAAUAUUCUACUCCUAAUCCGGGAGAGAAUAACCAAAAAUAUUUCUGUUUUCCCCUUGUGAAAUAAAUGCUCAAGUUAUCUUGUUACUACCACUUGCUAUAUUAUCUCAAGAGAUGAAUGCUCUAAAAAAAGAAAAAAAAAGAAGAUACGAGGAAAUAAAAAGGAGCAAGUGCUCGGAACCUCGAAAGAAAAAAAAAGUGAGACGAGAGGUAAAAAUGGACAAGUGUCCGACAGUAGAAUUAGGGGUGCAAGAUACCCACCUGAGAGAAAAGAAAAAGAAGAGCAUCUCAUUCUCCUCAUAAAGUUUCAAAGGCAAGGAAGGUAUGUAUCCCCUCAAAGAGCAAAGUAGAAUUAGACUUCCACCACCAUUGUUACCACCAUUGUUAUCACCAUCAUCACCAUACAUCAUUCAUUCGCCACACAUGCACAUCUUGAUUUGGCUUAUUGAUUUGUUUCUUUGGAUCCAUGGUUUGACUAUGCAAUAAAUGUCUUGUAAGUAUGUAUACUUUAUCUCCCACCUAUGAGCUCCAGAUAUUAAAGCCUUAUUAGAGUCGGGUGAGAGAGAAGACAAUGUCACUAUGCCUUAUACCACAAAUACUACAUAUCUUGAGAGAAGGCAUAUACCAUCAAUGCCUUGGUAAGGAUCCAAAAAUACCACAAAAGAGAGACCUGAGAGAAUCAUACAAGGAAUUUCUGAGUUUUAUUUGAAAAUCUGCAAAAACCCCAGAGCUAUAGCUGAUCAAGAAUAAGAGACAUGGCACUUGGCUAGGCUGUUCUAUCUUUUAACCACUCAAGACAGAAGUGACGGUUACAAGUCCCAUGGUGAAGGUAAAGUAAGUAAGUUUUAAGUCUUGACAGUUUACUCUAACUCAGAGAUGAGAUCUUAUUUAAAAGCAUGUGUACCGUCAAAUUUUUAAAGAUAUUGCAACAACUUAUGAUCCAUAGCUGAGUCUAUCCUUGCUCAGGGACGAGCAAGAGGUAAGCUUGGGGGAGUUUGUUGACGGUCCUUAAGUAUCAAAUUUAAUUAUCAAAUAAAUAAAGAAAAGGAUCCAAAUGAAAUCAAGAUCUAGACUUAGGGUUUUAUCUGACAGAAUUCCAUGAGUUUUGGUGUUUGUCUAUUUCUGCAGGGGGUUACCAGGAAAUAUGGAAGAAAGGCCCACAUGUCAGGAUUACGUAAAGAUAUUAACGUGUUGCGCAAUUAUCUUACAUCUAGAAGACUCCAGAAGCCACGAGACCGAAGCGGAGGCGAAACAGGGCCAGAGGCAGGGCGCCCGCCCUCCUGCCCUGGGCGCCCGCCCACCUCCUGUGUCCAAUCAGGACUCUGCUUUGCGGGAGAUCUCCACCGACCUAAAGGAUGAAUCUAAACCAUACAAUCUAUGUCGGUUUGAUCCAAGGGCCCAUAUUCACUUGGAGGGACUAUAAAACCAGACCCCCUGGCCCCUGGAGGAGAGAGCCUCUCAACCCUAAUUCAUUGUUCCAUCAAGGGAGAAGAAGCC
rnacentral:lncRNA from 1 species